CUAAACACACCUCAACAUUAUGUGUUUUCAUCCUUUCAAAAAAUUUCAAAUGAUAUUAGAUUCUUCAAAAAUCGUGUAUUAAGACGUUCGAAGUUGCCCUGUCAUUGAAGGAACCUCGUUAAAAGCAUACACGUAGAAAGUUGAGAACAUUCUGGGGUUUGUAUGUCACUUCAUGAUUAGUUCCAUUUGUCCCUUUUUCAUUCUCUUCUGCUUGAUCUUAAUUGUACUAUAUAUUAUGAUUGUCCACUUCUUUUGUUUAUGUAAGUUUCCUUUUGGCAAAAUUAAAUUUCAGUUAAGAUGCAUGUAUUAGUGAUAUCAUUGCCUUUGGCUAUAUUAGUAGUCAUACUAUUAGCCCUUGCUUGUUACUUCUUUGGUAGAUCAAGGCGUCGAUGGUGAGAGUGGAGUGGAGAUUUAACUUUUUCAAUGGGAAAUAACCUCAUUAUUUUCACUAAUUAUUUUUCUAUCUUUACAAGAGGCAUAUGGUAAAAUUUGUGUAUAUUUUCUUCAAAGAAUAGAGUCUAUCCUAGUAGAGCUUUAUUAUAUUUUGUAUAGGGAGUUCUGCUCCUCAUGUUUGCGACCGAAAAUUUGAAAGCUAAGCUUGCUAGGAAGUACGAGGAGAAACGAAAAAGAGGGACGGAGGAGAGCAGCGUAGAACGACACUUGAGUCAAAGACGUUCAAGAACUCAAGACUUAAGUAAAUACCUUAAUCAAGCUUGAUGAGAAGGAUGGAAUGAAGUAUUAGGUGGUCCUUAUUUUAGUUUUGAAUUCUGUUAGUUUGGAGUUUUUGAAAGAAGUUGUUUGGUGAUUGUUACAUACUUUUUGAUAUAUACUCGUUUAUAUUGUUUAAGUUGGAUGAAUAUGUUUGAAGUUUGAUUGUUUAAUCUUAAUCUUUGAAUUAGUUGGAUGAAUAUGUUUAUUGUUUUGCUAAUUGUUAUUGAUUGUAUGAUGAUUUUCUAUUGAAAUACUGAGGUUUAAACAAACCUCGUUAAAGGGAUACACGUAGAAAGUUGAGAACAUUCUCGUGUUAGUGUGUGUCACUUCAUGGUUAGUUCCAUUUGUACUUUUUUCAUUCUCUUUUGCUGUAUCUUAAUAAUUAUCUUAAUUGUAGUAUCUAUUAUCAUCGUCCUCUUAGGAAAGAUGAAUACACAAUUAAAGAGUUCGAUAGGGUAUUAACGGAAAAUAUUCAUAACUAAAUUUUUCCUUUCAACUUGAACUAAGAGAAGAUAAAUAAAUUUAAGCAAAAUAGAGUAAUAUACAACAAAUAAUUCAAUCAAAUGAAAUAAGAUAAGAAUAAAGGCAAUCACAUGAGACAUUAAAUUUAUGUGAAAAAUUUUUUGGUGUGAAGAGUAAAAAAUUACGGGAUCAAAAUCUUCAUUAUAAUUAUUAAAGAGUUACAAUAUUGUCUUUCAAAAUGGCCACAAAAUAAGAGUCAAAUAACAAGAAAUAAUGCAUAAAUCACAGCAUUAAAUACUAGAGAAAUAAAGGAGUGAAAGCAUAAAAAAUACAGCUACUGUUUGGAAAUGAAGAAUAGGAGCUACAGGACAUCAAAUUAAGCUUCGUUAGUUUCUAAUUAAAUAUUGAGAUGAGAGGAACAAGAAGUUCAAAAAUCAGCUCAAUCGGAUAAAAAAUGAAGAGAGAAUCGCAAUUUGAAGUUGACAGUUGUGGCUAAAAUUAGGUGUAAAAAUCAGCUUUGUUUUUCUGUUGAAAACUCGCUUUUUUGUGAUGGUGAAUAAGAGUUAAAACGAUCAAUAUAUGUCCUAUAAUAAUGGGCCUAUGGACAAAAGUGGGUUGAUUUAAAUUGGGUUUUAUUUUAUCCAAGGAAGGGACAAAGGCUCAUGAUCAAACAAUUCUUCCCCUCUCAACUAUGUGGAGGAGACCACCAUGUCAAUGAUCAUGCAACAAUUUUCAAACUUCCCUCUUGGCAAAGCUUUAGUCAUCAUGUCGGAAUUAUUAUCAUCCGUAUGAAUCUUCUCAAGUUCAAGCAACUUAGAAUCCAACACAUUCCGAAUCCAAUGGUAUUUUACAUCAAUGUGUUUAGACCGAUCAUGAAAUGUAGAAUUCUUAUCAAGAUGUAUGGCACUUUGACUGUCGCAAUGAAGCACAUACCUCUCUUGAGCACAACCAAGUUCUCCCAAGAAUCUCUUCAUCCAAAACAAUUCUUUACAAGUUUCAACGGCAGCAAUAAGCUUAGCUUCUGUAGUAGAUAGAGCAACAUAUUUUUGUAACCUAGAUUGCCAAGAUACAGCUCCCCCUACAAAAAUAACCAAAUACUUGAAGUAGACUUACGAGUAUCAAAAUCACCAGUCAUAUCUGAAUCAGUAUAACCAUAAAGACCAGGCUUUCCUGUACCAAAGCACAAACUCAGACUAGAAGUGCCACAAAGAUAUUUCAUAAUUCACUUCACAUCAUUCCAAUGUUCUCUUCCCGUAUUAGAAAGAAAACGACUAAAAACACCAAUAUCAUGAGUAAUAUCCGGUCUUGUGCAAACCAUUGCAUACAUUAAACUACCAACAGCUGAAGCAUAAGGAACUUUCUUCAUAUCUUUCUUUUCAUCAUCACUGGAAGGACACUGCUUCAUGCUCAACUUGAAGUGCAUAACUAUAGGUAUACUGACAACCUUAACCUUGUCUAUGUUAAACCUUCGAAGUACUUUCUGAAUAUACUUCUCUUGUGAUAACCACAACUUCUUGGUCUUUUUGUCACAGUCAAUCUGCAUGUCAAGAAUCUGCUUUGCUGGUCCUAAGUCUUUCAUAGAAAAAGACUUACUCAACUCUUGCUUCAACUUUUGAAUCAUGCAAGCAUUAUGACCAGCAACAAACAUGUCAUCAACAUAAAGCAAGACAAUAAUAAAGUUACCAUCAAAGAAUUUUUGCACAAAAACACAAUGGUAUGAAAUAGUCUUCUUGAAGCCCUGCUGACUCAUAAAGGAACCAAACUUCCUGUACCACUGCCUAGAAGCUUGUUUCAAACCAUACAAACUCUUCUUCAAUUUGCAAACAUAAUUCUCUUUUUCCUUGACUUCAAAACUUUCGGGUUGCUCCAUAUAAAUUUCUUCAUCUAAGUCACCAUAAAGAAAAACAGUUUUAACAUAAUGCUUAAUUUCUAAAUCUAGACUUGCAGUUAAGCCUAGAACCACACGAAUGGAUGACAUCUUUACAACCGGAGAAAAUAUCUCAUCAAAAUCAAAUCCCCUUUUUUGAUUAAAUCCCUUCACAACCAAUCUAGCUUUGUACUGUGAAAUUGGAUUACCAUCUUCAUGCUUUACCCGAAAAACCCACCUAUUUUUUAAAGUUUUUCUGUCUUUAGGAAGUUUAACCAAAUCAAAGGUAUGAUUAUCUUGCAAAGAUUUAAUUUCAUCUUUCAUAGCAUCAAACCACUUUUCUUUUUCUUCACUUUCCAUGGCCUCAUCAAGACUCUCAGGUUCUCCCCCGUCAGUCAAGAGUACAUACUCAAUGGGAGAAUAACGAGAUGAAGGUAUUCUCUCUCUUGUAGAUCGUCUGAGAGAACUCUCUGGAGCAUCAACAACUGGUUGCUGAUCAACUAUGUCAACUUAUACUAGAGCAUUAACAACUUCUUGCUUGUCAUUCUGAACAUGAUCAUCAUCUUCAUUAUCAACUUAAUUUUCAUCAUUAUGAAGAUUUUCUUCAGGAGCUGUAGUCAAAAGAACUGGAUCAAUAUCAACUAGGCUCUCACUACUCUGAGAAUCAACUUUCUCAGCUUUGUCAAAAUCUUCAAUUGUUUGGUCUUCAAAGAACACAACAUCGCGGCUUCUAACAAGUUUCUUCUCAACUGGAUCAUAGAAACGAUAGCCAAAUUCAUCUUGACCAUAACCAGUGAAGAUACACUGUCUAGUUUUAACAUCCAACUUUGACCUUUUAUUCUUAGGAGCAUGAACAAAAGAUUUACACUCAAAAACUCUAAGAUGAUCAUAAGAAACAUUUUUACCAGAUCAAACUCUGUCAGGGACAUCACUAUUCAAAACAACAAUAGGAGAUAAAUUAAUAACAUAAACAGCCGUAUUAAGUGCUUCUGCCCAAAAGAAAUCUGGUAGCUUAGCAUCUGAAAGCAUACAUCUAACCCUCUCAACUAGUGUUCUGUUCAUCNNNNNNNNNNNNNNNNNNNNNNNNNNNNNNNNNNNNNNNNNNNNNNNNNNNNNNNNNNNNNNNNNNNNNNNNNNNNNNNNNNNNNNNNNNNNNNNNNNNNNNNNNNNNNNNNNNNNNNNNNGAGAAUGAUCAUCAAUAAAAUUCACAAAGUAAAGUGCACCACCAUGAGACCUUACUUUAAAAGGACCUCACAAAUCAGAAUGCACCAACUCCAGCAAAUCGAGCUUUCUUGAAGGCGGAUGACUCUGAAAAAAAACUCUUUUCUGUUUAUCGGCUAAGCAAUGAACACACUUCUUCAACUUUUCUUGUUUUACUCCAGAAAGCAAAUUUUUCUUAGCCAAACUAUCAAUCCCCUUCUCACUCAUAUGAUUCAACCUUCUAUGCCACAACUCUGAUGAAGUAUCAUUCUCCACUAAGUUUAUCAAGCCUCUAGAAGUAGAGCCCUGAAAUACGUACAAGUUAGACAAUUUGUCACCUCGAGCCACAAUCAUCGAACCUCUAGUAAGCUUCCACUGGCUAGCACCAAGGGUAUUAACAUAACCCUCAUCAUCAAUACUUCCUACAAAAAUCAAAUUUAGGCGAACAUCUGGAGCAUGCUUGGCAUUAUUGAGAACUAGUUUGGAACCAUUGUUACUUUCCAAACAAAUCGUGGCAAUGCCAAGUACUUUAACUUCAUCAUUAUUGUCCAUUUUCAACAUCCCAAAAUUUUCUGGAGUAUAAGAAAAAAAUAAUUCCCUCGGCGUAACAUGAGAAGUAGCACCAGAGUCCACAAACCAGCUAGACUCAUCGCGAGCAAGAUUAAUAGCAUUCUCACCACAAGCAACAAGAAGAUCAUCAUUAGCAAUAAUAGCAACACAAUUUUUAUUAUCGCCUUAUUUCUUUUGCCGUCUUAUAUCUCUCUUAUGCUUGUAACAAUAUUUCAUGAUAUGGACCUUUUUGUUGCAAUAGUCACAUGUAACAUUCUUGAAUUUGGACCUUGACUUGCUUCUACUUUUAUCUUUAUCAUUUGAAUCUCUGUACUUGUUUCUCCCCUCUCUUCAGUAACCAAAACAUCAGAGUGUGAAGAUGAAGAAGAUAAGGCCUGAGAUCUUUUUCUUAUCUCUUCAUUCAAGACACCACUCUCAACAUAUUCCAUAGUUACAAUACCACCGGGAGCAAAAUUAGUCAAAGAAACUCGAAGAGUUUUCCAAGAGUCUGGCAGAGUAUUAAGAAGUCAAAGUCGUUGAAUUUCUUUAUCGAACUUUACACCCAUUCCGGACAGCUGGUCAAGGACACUCUGAAAAUUAUUUAUAUGAUCAGAAAUAGGACUGACCUCUUUAUACCUGAUAUUCAUCAAUUGCUUAAGCAGGAACAACUUGUUAUUGCCAGUCUUCGAAGCAUAAAAUGUCUCGAGCCUGUCCCACAAACUUCUAGUAUGUGUCUCAUUCACAAUAUGAUUUCUAACAUUAUCUUCAACCCAUUGUCUGAUAUAGCCACAAACUUGUAAGUGCUCAAAUUUCCAAUCCUCAUCUGUCAUGGAUUCAAGUUUAAUAGAUGCAAACACAGGUAGAUGCAUUUUCUUGACAAAUAGAAGAUCUUUCAUCUUGCCUUUCCAAGUAUGAUAGUUACUACCAUUCAAACACACCAUCUUGCUCAUAUUUGCCUCUAUCAUUCAAAUCGACAAUCAACAACAACCAAUGCUUUGGUACCACUUAUUAGGAAAGACGGGCAUACAAUCAAAGAGCCCGAUAGGGUAGCAGCGAAAAAUACCCAAGACUAAACUUUCCCUUUCAACUUGAACCAAGAGGAGACACAUAAACCCAAGCAAAAUAGAGUAAUAUACAGCAAACAACUCAACCAAAUGAAACAAGAUAAGAAUAAAGACAAUCACAAGAGACACCAAAUUUACGUGGAAAAUUCUUCGGCGUGAAGAGUAAAAAACCACGGGACCAAAACCUCCACUAUAAUCACCAAAGAGUUACAAUAUUGUUUUCCAAAAUGGCCACAAAACAAGUGCCAAACAACAAGAAGCAAUACAUAAACCACAACACCAAACACUAGAGAAAUAAAGGAGUGAAAGCACAAAAAACACAACUACUGUUCGGGAAUGAAGAACAGGAGCUACAGGCCGUCAAAUCAAGCUCCGUCAGUUCCUAAUGAAAGAUUGAGAUGAGAGAAAUAAAUUUCAGCUUUGUUUUUCUCUCUUUGGCUGCUGAAAAUUCUCUUUUUCGUGAUGGUGAAUAAGACCUAAAAUGAUCAAUAUAUAUGCCCCAUAGUAAUGGGCCUAUGGGCAAAAGUGGGUUGGUCUAAAUUGGGUUUCAUUUUAUCCACAUAGGAAGGGACAAAGGCCAUGACCCAACACGUCCACUUCCAUUUGUUUAUGUGUUUCUUUUUGGCAAAAUUAAAUUUUAGGAAAGAUGCAUGUACUAGUGAUAUCAUUGCCUUUGGCUAUAUUGGUAGUCAUACUAUUAGCCCUUGCUGGUUACUUCUUUGGUAAAUCAAGGCGUCGAUGGUGAGAAUGGAUGAAAGUUUUUCAAUCGAAAAUAACUUCUCUAUCUUUACGAGAGGUAGCGUGAGGUUCACCUACUUUGAAAGUACAGAGAGUAUAGUCUAUCCUAGUUAGCUAGAGAGUUUUCUUAUAACUUGUUAUUUAUCUUUGGAAGAUCAAGCGUCAAUGAAAUUUUUCCGAUUAGAAAUAACCUCUCUAUUUUUACGAGAGUAUGAUUCACGUACACUUUGUUUUUGUUUAAAAAGUAGAGUCUAUGUUAGUGUCUUAUUAUGUCUUUGUUACUUCUUUGGACGAUCAAGGGGUUGCUGGUGAUUUAAUUAUUCAAAAUAUGCUUUGUUAUUGAUUUUGUUGACUCGAAGUCCAUGUAUUUUCUUGAUUUUGUAUUUUUUUAAAUUAAGAAUCGAGUAUUUCCAUAAGUUGAGAAUUAAAAUAACAAAGCUUGAAUUGUCCCUUUCAAUUUCCUACUAAUUAAGAUAUUGAUUGGUCUUGAUUUCUAAGUUCUGUUUUAAUCUUUGUGAUAUGAAUUUUGUAGGUAGUGUUGUCACGAACCGAGCCGAUAUUGUCCUUAUUCCUUAUUUCUAAUGAUAUUAUUCGUUUUGGAUUCAAGUCCGCACGGCUUUAAAACGCGUUACAAGGGAUCAGUUAAACUUGCUUACUCAUAUAAUCAACAUCGCUGAGGUUUACCUCACCGAAUGAGAUUUGCCUACACUUAGGACACACUCAGGACUGAGGUUGGCCCACAUCGAUAGGGAUGACACAGAAGCGGCUCUGAUACCACUCUGUCACGUCUCGAGUCGAGGCCUGGGCUGCGACGGGCAUUUCGAAUCACGAAGGCCCGAGAGACCCUUUACUCUUUAUUUCUAGUGAUGAUAUUAUCCGUUCUGGAUUCAGUCCGCACGACUUUAAAAUACGCCACUAGGAAGUAAGACUUGCUUACUCAUAUAUCUGGCAUCCCUUCUGUGUUUUGCUAAUGUGGAUUCUUUAUCUUAAGUUGGGUGUUACAAGUGUUUAAUUUGCUCUUAGAAAAAUAUUAUUUUUUUUCGUUGUACAACGUUUUUUUUUUCUUUUUUGAAAUUUUGUUGUUUAAAACACCAAAUUACUGCUAUGGCUUGUAGGUUGGAUCAUAGAAAUGGAACAACGAAGUAUAUUUUCUAUUUUACAUGUUUUUUUCUUUAGAUUUUGAUUUAUUACUUCUCUAUAUAUCGUAUUGUUGGAUCUUUUUCUCCCCCUGUAACUAUUUAGUGAUAUCUAUAAUAAUUUCAUGUUGCAAAUAUCAUUUAGGUGUAAUUCAUAUAAUCUUUCUUUCUUGGUUCUCUUUCUUUCUCUCUAUAUAUAGUGUAGUGUACGUGCAUCUCGCAUUAAUUAAUAUGAGUAUAUAUAAAAAUAAUUAAUAUUUAGUUCAUUCACAAAUUUAUAAUAUUAAAUUUUGCAAAAAUAAGGACUCAAAUCUAACAAAAAUAGUAAGGUGUAAUUAAUAUAAAUAUUAACAAAAUAAUUAAUGAUAUAUACUUUAAGGAAAAAAAUAAACACACAUUUUUAUACUUUUAAAUGAAACAUUUACCUAAUCGAAACAAAUUCAAUACUUUUUUUCCUAAUCAAGAAAAUGAAUUCCUAAUAUGUCCGUUAAAGCAGUUAAUUUUAAGAUUUUUAUAACUGAACAAAUAAAUAUGAUACAAUUAAUAUAAUAUAGCAGAUAUAAUAUAUAAACACUCAUAAUAAAAAUAAUGAUAAACAAACUCAAUGCAAUAAAAAAGAAAAUCUGAAAUUUAAAAAACACAAAAUUAUGUUGGAGAUUCAAUAACAAAAGUUACUUACAAACAUAAAAAGAUGUUUUGUUGUUCUCGAUAAAUAUAACCACCGUAAUAGAAAAAAAAUUUGAAUCUGAAAAUUAAACAGAAAAAUUACGUUAGAGACUCAAUAACAAAUACUGUUUACGAGAAAAAACGAAUUAUUUGUUAGUAUCACUAACAAAAUUAAAACAUGCAAUAAAAUAAAUGAUGUAAAAUAUAAUAAAAAGCUAUAAAAUAAAGUUUAGCAGAAUUAUAUGCUUUCAAAAGAAAAAUUACUGCAAAUCCUAUGUACAAUAACUAUAAAAUCCUAUUGAAGUUUUUUUUUUUAAAAAAAUAAAAAUAAAAAUAGUAGGCAUAGAUAUAAACUUACAACCCAUGGUCUAUUAGGACUCUUCUUUGUCUUGUGAUCUCUAAUUCCUGGAGAUCAAUUUUUGUAGAGCCUCUGAUUCAAUAAGAAUGAAAUUUUGUGAAUGCUAAUAGAAAAAUAAAAGAGAGUUACUUUAAUUAUGAUUAUUAAUUAUAGUAAAAUCAUAUUAAUUUUACAAUAAAAAGCUAAAACUAUAAUAAUUGGAGAAAAAAUAGUGAAAAGAUAAUUUUAUCUAUUAUAAAAUUUUUUAAUGGAGAGCAAAAAGUUUCAAUUAUUUUUUCUAAGGGUCUUCACACUUUUAAUAUACUAAAAAUUAUACAAAUACACAACUUAUGUUUCCAAUAUUACAAAAAAUUCCAACUCCCUAAAUAUAUUACAAAAAUUUCAAUAUAUACACAAAAUGCUAUGUAUAUGUCGGCUAUGUUAUGUAUAUUAAUAGGGAGAGGGGGUAAAGUAAUUUAAAAAGUGGGAGAGAGUGUAAUUACUUCUGAAAGGGUUGAUAUUUAUGUUAUUUAUACAAUAUAUAUUAUAGGUUAUAGAUUAUAGAUAUAGAUUAUAAAUGCGUUAAGUUGUAUAUUGUUUUUAUUCCGAAAUUAAAUCGAAUGUGGUUUGCUUUCACGUACUUCCUUUGGAUGUACUUGGGGCAAACAACUAAAGAGCAGUUCGAUAAAUUAAAUUUUCUAAAAUUUACAUAUAUACACUAACUAAAAUUAGCUAAUUACAUUAUAUACAAAUUUACUAAAAUAUUUACACAUAUCCCAAAUUAUUUACAUAAAUCCCUUUACUUUCAACUUUCUCUCUCUUAAACAUUAUACAUCUCACAAUUUCAAUAACUCUUCCGUAAUUUACUCCCCCAUAUGCUCCCACAUAAAUCUCUUUCCUUUUAACUUUCUCUCUUUUAAUCAUUACACAUGUGAAACACUGAUUUUGACAAAAAAAGUAGUACAAUAUUUUUGAGGUAUUCUUCUUCCUCCUCUGUACAAUUAUUUCUUAAAAAUAUUUAUUUUUCUGUGGUAAAGUUGAGAUCUUUACUGGGAUUUGGAGUUGUUUUUUAUAUGGGGUUUAUUCUGUUAUUAAAAUAAUUGUGUUUGAUCUUUGGAUUUGAUGUAAAUAUUUGAUCUUUUGCUUCAAGAUUGAAUUUUUAUGUGUUUUUUCUGUUCUUGAUUUUGUUGAAUAUAUGAUUUUUGUUUUUUCAAUUUUGUUGAAUUAGUCAUAUAGUUAGGUAAGUUACAUUAAUUUGAGAUUUGAGAUCUAGGAAAAUAUGUCAAAUUCUUGGAUCUUCUUUUGAUGAUUGGUGUGUUCUUGCAGAUUUGAUUGAACUCCACUUUUUUUAUUAUUUUGUGUUAUUUCAAUUCUGGAAAUGUUUAGUUAGAUUUACUUGUUACCUAUUUGCAGGCUCAUGUAAUUGGAUAGAUUUCAAUAAAUUCUGCUCUGAAUAUUGGAAAAAGCUAAUAGAAUAAUCUUUGGAUUUUGUGUAUUAGCUGCUUAGUCCUACUUCAUUUUUUGGUGUGAUUGACUUGCUUUUAAGAUGAUGAUGUUUGAGGAAAUAGAGUCCUGUGGCGAUCUUGAUUUCUUUUCUGCUCUUCUAAAGAAAGUGGGAGUGGAAGUGGUUUCCCCACAGAAUCAGAUUGAGCCGGAUUCUGUGGUGGAUGAUGAUUAUAACGAUGAGGAGAUUGAUGUUGAUGAGCCUAACUUUGAUGUUCAUGAUCAAUUCUAUUUGCUGAGCUUAUAUUCUAUGAUAAUUUGCUCUUUAAUGUUUUGAAGAAGUGUUUGUUCUAAAGUUGGUUCGUUUGUUGUUGUUCCUGCUAACUAUACGAAUGUAUAAUGUUUUAUUAUACUUGCCUGUCAGUGUAUAAUGUUCUUUGAGGUUUUGAAGAAGUGUUUGUUCUAAAUUUUCAAUAUUACAUUUGCUUCCUUUUUGUAUAAUAUGUUAGCAUACAUUAAAACCAAUAUAUAAUAUGAAACUGUCCAUUCCAGUUAACUUACGAAUGUAUAAUAUGUUGUUAUACAUUCAAAUCAUUGUAUAAUGAAAAUUGUGCCAAUCCAGUAAACAUUCGAAUGUAUAAUGUUUGAUUAUACAUUUGUCUAUGCGUAUAAUAAAAACUGCCGCAAUGAUAGAAAUUGUAUUUUUUUCUGGUUUUAUUAUUUUUAACAUGUUUGUUUGAUCCACUGACUCAAUUUAAAAAAAUUUAUGCAGCUAUGUACUGAUUUGUCGUAACAAAGACUGUAAGUGGGUGUUGAGGGAGUCUUCUAUGAAUGAAUCGGAAAUUAAUGCUUAUAUGAGAAGUGGGUGUUGAAGGCGUCUUAUCUUUAUUCAUACUACUUAUACAUAUAUGGUGGGUGUGUAUAUACUAUGUAAUUUGACAACUAUUAUAGUAAAUAGUUGUUGAAACGUAAUGUGUGUUACACAAUUAUAUACAUUAAACUUUCAUAUAUAUAUAUAUAUAUAUAUAUAUAUAUAAUGUAUGAUAUACUAUUAUACUUUAUUAAUAUGCAUGAUGUUUUACUGACAACUGACUACAUGUAUUAUUUUUUGUUUAAGCAACAUAAGAAAUGGCAGACUUAUGUAACAUAGUUCGUGAUAAUUUAAGUUGCCUUUUCCAUUUUGUUUGAUGUGUAUGGUUAUAGAUUAUACUUUCGUGUAAAUGUAUGAUACGUUCACAAUGUAUUUAAUGUAAAAAAAUACAUUAAAAGUAUGUUAAUAAUGUAUGAUAUAGUGUUAUAGUUUAUAAAUAUGUAUGACGUUAAAUAUUUUCUUUAUUUUCUAUUAAGUCAUGAACACUUAACAACAUGUAUGAUGUUAUGUAAUACAUAUAUUUUAACGUAUGCGACACUUGUUCAAUGUAUUUUUAACUUAUAACAUAAUUUACCUACUGUUAAAAAUUUAAUAUGUUGAUAUACAGUAACACAUUAUUUUGUAAUUUAGUUUUAUACAUAAUAUAUAAUAAAAUGUAAGGCAAGCUCAAUAACUACCAAACUAUAUUAGUAACAUUACAAUAUAGUGUAAGUAAUUGCACAAUAUUUCUUUAGAUAUUAUAUAUGUAUAAUAAGAAUAAGGACAUCCAUAAAAUNNNNNNNNNNNNNNNNNNNNNNNNNNNNNNNNNNNNNNNNNNNNNNNNNNNNNNNNNNNNNNNNNNNNNNNNNNNNNNNNNNNNNNNNNNNNNNNNNCUACUCUAAAGUAACAAGUGCACUUUCAUCAAUUGUUUGGAGAUAACUAUUCCACGCCCGAUGAGAAUCCUCAUUAUUACUCGUGUACCCACUUGCAGUCUUUGUUACGACAAAUCAGUACAUAGCUGCAUAAGUUUUUUUAAAUUGAGUCAAUAGAUUAAACAAACAUGUUAAAAAUAAUAAAACCAGAACAAAAUGCAAUUUCUGUCAUUGCGGCAGUUUUCAUUAUACACACAGACGAAUGUAUAAUCAAAUAUUUUACAUUCGAAUGUUUACUGGAUUGACACAGUUUUCAUUAUACAAUGAUUUGAAUGUAUAAAAACAUAUUAUACAUUUGUAAGUUAACUGGAAUGGUACAGUUUCAUUCCAAAAUCCACAGAUUAUUCUAUCUUCUUCUAAUAUUCAGAGUAGAAUCUAUUGAAAUCUAUCCAAUUACAUGAGUCUGCAAAUAGGUAAACAAGUAAAUCUAACUAAACUUUUCUAGAACUGAAUUAACACAAAAUAAUAAACAAGUGGAGUUCAAUCAAAUCAGCAAGAACACACCAAUCAUCAAAAGAAGCAUAAAUGUGCACAAAUGAGAAAGAGUCUAAGAUUUUCUUAGGCAUUCCACUUUCUUUGAAGCUCAACAAAAAUACUGUAUAAGCUAUUUCCAACAAAAAUCCAAGAAUUUGGCAUAAUUUCCUAGAUCUAAAAUCUCAAAAAAUACAAAGCGAAAAAUUAACCAAACCCCAAAAUUGUUUCUUCAACUCAACGUAAAUCCUCACUCCAUUGUUGUUUCUUAUGACAAUUGGAGAAGAAUUUUCUUCAACCACAUAUUUAACUUUUAUUUUUUUCGUACUUUGUCGAUAUCCAAUUCCAUAGCGAUCGUAGAAACCAAUUUCAAGAAAGUAAUACCUUCCGAAAUAAUUAUUGCGUCACUUUUGUAUGACUUACAACUUAUUUUUGACGCCCAAAUUCUAGCAUGUUGCAGCAAUAUGAGGAUAUUCAUAUUGAUUUAAGUAGUACUAAAAAAAGUAUGUAGAAGAAAUUUAUUGCUUUUUCCUUUCUAAAUCUUGAAUCCAAGAUUACAAAAAAAAAAAUUGAACUUUCAAAAAAGUUUUGAAAUACAAUAUCAAGAUACUACUUUUAUCCAGAAAAAAGUUAAAGUUGCCCAAUUAUUGCCUUCAAUUAAGGAACUUUAAAAUAAGUAAUUAUUUCAAUUACCUUAAAUUUAGGAUUAGUUAUUACAUCAUACAUUCGAUCAAUGUAUAAUAUGUGACCGAAUGUAUGAGUAUGUUUGCAAAAAAAGGGAGAGAGAAAACAAGAAGGAAUUUUGUGUAAUUAUUUUCAUUGUCUAGGGGAUUUAUGUUGUUCACACUUAAAACUUUCUAAGUGAGUGAAUUGUUAACAAGAAGAUUGGGCCUCACAAAAUGGGCCCAACAAAAGCUCAUUCAAGAUUUCCUUCCCUAAAAUAUCUCCCAAAUUAUCAACUAUUAAAUCAUAUUUCUUCCUGAUUUUUUUCUCUUCCAUUAAUGCUUAAAUUAUCUUCCUUUCUGAUUUUUUCUCCUCCAUUAAUGCAUGCAACUUUUUUUUUCCUCUCCUAAAAUCUCUCCCAUUUUUUUUUAAAUCUAUUGAUACGUAUAUAAAUUUAUUUAGUUAUUCAUACAUGUUUAUUGUUUUAAUGGUGAUUCAUAUGAAUGAUAAAUAUGAAAUCAUUAUAUGGGUAUUAUGGUAAUUUAUACGAUAUAUUUUGUAUGAUUUUAACGGGUGAUACAUAUGAUAUUAAUGAGUGAUACAUAUUAUAUUAUGGUGAUUCAUAAGGUAGAUACAAUUAUUUAUUUCAAUUAUUGGGUGAUUCACAUAAUAUUAAUGGGUGAUAUAUACGGUAUUAUGGUGAUUCAUAUGGUAGAUAUAAUUAUUUAUUUUAAUUAUUGGGUGAUUCAUAUAUAUGGUAUUAUGGUGAUUCAUACAGUAGAUACAAUUAUUUAUUUCAAUUAUUGGGUAAUUCAUAUGAUAUUAAUGGGUGAUAUUUAUGGUAUUAUGGUGAUUCAUAUGGUAAAUAGAAUUAUUUAUUUCAAUUAUUUGGUAAUUCAUAUGUUAUUAAUGAAAGGUAACGAUGUAGUUAGUGUAGGAAACAAAAGUAAUAAUGUUUUUUUUUAAAAAAAGACUAAAAGCAGAAUUGAAACAUAAUUAAAAUUAAAUCUAAAAAAAAAGCAGACUAAAAUUAAAGAUGAAAUUAAAGACGAAAAAAGACCAAAAAAAAUAUAUCUUUCAUAAUUAAAGACAAAAAAAGAGAAACAUAAUUAAAACACCUAAAUUAAAUCUAAAACGAGAGAAAAAUUAGAUAUCAUUCCUUAAAUAAAACAAUACAAUGAAUAAAAGAGAAUCUAUUAUUUCCUUAAAUAAAUAUCUUGUUAGUUUCAAAUGUAUCAAUUUUUUAUAUGUAUCACCCAUUUAAAAAAAUCGGGAUAAAAUGUAAUUAGCAAAAUAGUCGGGAUUUUAUAUAAUAUAACUUAAAGAUUCAGGGAUUUAUGUAAGUUACCCUUUUUUCUCUUUUACAUUUUUACAUAUAUUGAAGAUUUUUUCCAGCUGUAAAGAAAGUUAACAGUGAAUCAAGAAAAACUUUUCAUCUUCUUUUUCUUUUUCGUUUUCUCUCUCUUUCACCUAGGGCUUUUGCUCAACAAAUCCAUGGCGAUUUGUUGAUUCCUCCAUCUAACAUGGUAUCAGAGACAGGUUUCGUGUAGUACUCUCCACCAGCUAUCAACCGAUCUUACUCUUGAACAUUUCUUUCGAUUAUUUUUUUAUGAACUUCUCUGAUGAUAUCAACUUUCGGCGCAUUUCCAAUUUUUUGGUGUAUUAAAGUUGCGAUACGUUAAUUUUCUGGUGUAUUGUAGCUGUGUCACUCAUGUGUUGUGAUUGUACAUACUCAUCAAAUCCUUCCAGUUCGCUGAACAAAGUUUUUUUUUCUUAUUUGAAGCUUCUAGAAAAAAUACGGUACUAUCCUUCCUUUAUUCCUCAUCUUUGACGGUGUAUCCGUGUGCUUAAUUUAUACCUACUUUGCUGUGACAUAUAUCAAAAGUCGAUUUUGGUUAGCUGUUUGAUAUACAAAUGGGUGAUACUGUGAGGUCCGAUGGUUUUACUUCAUUUUCUAUUGAUCAAUCACAUCUUUUUUAUAUCCACCCUUCUGAUAAUCCUAAUACCCCUCUUGUUUCUCCUCCUUUCGAUGGAAAUGGAUUUGUUCCAUGGAGGAGAAACAUGCUUGUUGUCUUGUCUGCAAAAAAUAAACUCGGGGUAAUAACUGGGAAAAAUCCUCAACCAACAGAGGAUUCUCCCUAUUAUUCAGGAUGGGAGCGUUGCAAUGACAUGCUCAUUGCCUGGAUAACGAAUUCCCUUUCUAGGAAUAUCUCUCUUAGUCUCAUAGGUCACAACACAGCUAAAGAGAUUUGGAAAGACCUAAAUGAGAGAUUUGGAUAGUCAAAUGGGUCUAAAUACAUACAAAUUCAGCGUGAAAUCAGUUCUACAACUCAAGGGUCGGAUAAUAUAUCAACUUAUUUUACAAAGUUUAAAAGCUUAUGGGAUGAGUUGCAUACUACAUAUGUAUGACCCACUUGUACAUGUGGUGCUCUCCCCAAAUUGUUAGUGGAACAAUAAUUAUUUCAAUUCUUAAGCGGAUUGAAUGAAUCCUACUCUACUUGUAAGACAAAUAUUCUCAUGAUGCCCCCUUUACUCUCCAUCAGUAGAGCUUAUUUUAUUUUACAGCAUGAUGAGCACCAAAAGGAAUCCUCUCCUCAUAUUCCAGGAUUCUCCACUGAGUUUGCAGCUUUCUCAGCCUCAACUAGCUCAAAUCCUUAAUUUAGAAGAGGUUUUUCUGCUGGUUACACCCAAAAAUUUCAAUCUGACCCUAAAAAAAACAACCAAAAAUUCCAAUCUGAUUCUAAGUAUCAUCAGAAGGUUCAGUUUGACCCUAAAUAUCAAAACUCUUUAUAUAUUUUUAGAAAGAGGAAUAGUAUUGAUGCAUCAACUCCUUAUUGCAAGUACUGCAAAAAAUUUAGGCAUGUUAUUGAUGAUUGUUACAGAUUGCGUGGUUUCCCUGCUGAUUUUAAAUUCACCAAGAAUAAGAAAGUUGCUGCAUCAUGUGUCAACACAUCAAACCUACAGAUGAGAUCACUUUUCCUCAUGUACCUCCUGGUUUUAUAACUGAUCUGUAUCAACAUUAUCAGUAACUUCUCAAUCUCCAGCUUACUCCAACUUAUUCUGAAGGAAACAUUGGUGACAAUGUUGCUUUCAGUGCUUUUGCAGGUUUGUUUAAUAGUUCUGUUGUGGGUCAUCCUAAUUCUUAUGCUUGUGCUCUUUCUCAAUUAGGAAAUUCUAGCCCUUGGAUAUUAGACUCAGGGGAAACCAUCCACAUGACACCCCAUAAAUAUCUAUUACACAAUUUACAGCCUUUGCCUACCCCUUACUUAAUUACUCUUCCUAAUGGGUAUAAGUUCAAGGUUGUUUCUACUGGAUCAUUCCAAUUCCGACAUGAUAUACUUCUUCACAAUGUUCUCCUUGUCCUUUCAUUUUACUUCAAUUUAAUUUCCAUACAUAAAUUAAUUACUCAACUUCAAUGUUCCAUCAUUCUUACAAUUUCUACGUGUUUUCUACAGGGUCCUUUUCUGAAGAGGCCACUUGAGAUUAGUAAAGCUGCCAAUGGCUUGUAUUUACUGCAUCAGGACUCUUCUACUUCAUCCACUAUAUUGACUUCCUCUAUUUGAGAUGCUGAUUCUGUUAAAUAUGAUUCUGUUUUUCCCGUUCUUACUUGUUUCUCCUAUGUAAACUCUUGUAAUGCUUCUCUGAGUACUUCUGAUAUUUAUCCUUUCAUUUCGAGUGUUUCUUCAUUUGAUAAUAAUAAACUGGAUGUAUUGUGACAUCAAAGAUUGGGCCAUGUUCCUUUUCAUAAAAUGCAUUCCAUUAUUUCCUUGCCAAAAAAAUUGCCUAGCAAACAACAUUUCAUUUGUUCUAUGAGUCCAUGGCUAGGCAACAAAGAACAUUUUUCCCUCAUAGCAUUAUACAUUCCACUACCCUCUUUUAAUCGGUCCACAUUGAUAUUUGGGGAUCAUAUAACACCCAAAUAUACAGUCAUUAUAAAUACUUCGUUGCUUUGGUUGAUGACUUCACUAGAGUCACCUGGACACACUUACUUUCAUGUAAGAGUAAUGCUUUGCCUGUUCUGAAAGUAUUUGUAUCCAUGGUUAAGACACACUUUCUCAAAUUUGUUCAAGCCUUCAGAUCUGAUUGUUGACACCUAAUUUUUGCCCUCCGCAAUCCAAUUUAAUUUCGAGUUUCUUCAAUUUUAAAAUAAAAUCACAAUAAUUAUUUUGUUUAAAUAAAUGCUAGUUUAAAUUACUUAUUCAAUUCAGUUUUAUCAUUUAAUUAACGAUUAUACAUUUUUCGCAUACGAGGGUGUAUAAAUUUUGUUAUUUAAGUGAUCUUUUUCAUUAAAAUUAGAUUUUUAUUGAUUAAACUUGAAAAUUAAUUCAAAUGGAUAAAACUUGGUUUUAAAUAUGAUUUGCUCUCAAAAUAUUUUUUUUUUGGAGAAAUAUUUGUUGGAUUUUUAUCAAAUUAAGAAACUUGAGGUUAAUUUGUUACUUGAUUCAUGCUAGAUUGCGAUUCAAUUUAGCGAAGGAAUUAAAUAUGACCUCAAUUGAAAUCAAAUUGGCCCCAAUCGUAAUACAAUUGACCAAUAGAUAUUCAGUUUGGUUAUAAUUUAAAUAAAUCGUUUGAAUUGUAAUCCAAUCUUAUUCUCCAAAAAUUACUAUUUCCUAAUUGGGAUUAUUUUGAUCCAAUCAAAUUCAAUUAGGUUAUUAAGUAACCCCAACCUUGAGCCACUUAAUUUAAACUCAAUUUCAGCCUUUUUUCCUUUUCAGUUGGGCCGUUAGCCCAGAACUUCAGACAACCCAACAAUUUUCUAAUUAAAUCCAAGCCCAACUUCACUUCCCUGCUCCCUUUUUACCCACCUCCAAUAGCCCAAUAGACCAUACCCUCCAACAUUGACCCAACUCACUUAAUAACAUCAGCCCAAAACUAAUCAAUAUCAGCCCAACCAAAACCCUUGACCCGACCCACAUCAAUAAUUCCCUUUUAUUCCCCCUUCUUCACCAAAACACUCGAUGCUCAACAUUAAUGACAUCAACUAAUCAAUCCAGAAUCCGAACCCUUCUCGAUUAGACCUGAAUUGACCCACAACUAGCUCAUCUUAAUCCUCUCCACGUGUCCUACGUGAUGUUGUACCCUGAGAGAUCUGAAAAGCUGCUAGAAAGAGCGUGAGUUGGCUCGUAUAACGACUAUAUUCCAAGAUUUCAGGAUUUUGGUACAGAUUAGGUACAUACUUGGUCGUCUUUCAUUGGUUAGAAAAGGGGAUUCGGUAUUCUACAUUUUUAUUGGUCCACCAGUUGCCAUUUUGGGGAAAAUCCAAAGAAUUUGGUACAAAAAGGGUACGGACUGCUGGAGGGUAGCGGGAUCUGGGUGGAAAUUUGGAGUUUCUCCCUCUUUUUGAAAUCCCUAGGGAAACCCUAAUUCGACUCCUAUAAAAGGGUUCCUGGGGUCACUGUUGAGGGGGUCUUUUUUUUUUCUCUUCUUGGAAGGGUCCGGAAUUCUGGUGGAGGAAAUUCUAGGGUUUUCUUUCAGGAGGGAGAACUUGGGUUAGAGAUGAAGUUUUCAAAAAAAAUCGAGAAAGAAAUUUUAGGCUGGUUAGAAAAGCUGUUUUUGAAAAUAUGGGUUGGGCACUCUAAAAUUAAGGAGUUUAUUGUCACGAAGAAUUUCUCAUCCACUAUGUCUGGGAAAGCUAUUCGAUCAAUGGGAAGUUUCCCGAGGCGACAACAUUAGCUCCUAGUGGGGACAAUUUUGCUGAUAGCUCGAGUCCCGUUUGCUGCUCCUUGAAAGGUAACCUCCUAUCCCUUUGAGUUCUCGAGUUCUCUGUCUUCAUCUUGACCUUCUAUAUCUUCGAGUAAAUUUUCAGUAACAUUGUACGCUGGAUUUAUUUGUUGAUAGAUGGAUUUGGUAGUCGUAGGUUUUGUUCAUGAUAGACAUCACUAUGGUGAUAUUUGAUUAAAUAUGAUUCAUGCUGCUGCUUGGUACUUUUAAAGGCAUGCUUCUUUGUCAAAAGUGUCCUAAAAUCCACCAAAUUUAUCUAUGAAUGGUUCUUUCUAGCCUGUUGUGUCGCUGAAAAAAUGUUGUGAAUUAAGUUCCGAUCUAAUAUUCUCACUCUAUAUGCUGGUUAAGACUCGAGCGAUGAGUCUGUUAAAUGGUUUCAGGCUGAUGACGCAUCAUCAUAGCUAUCCCUAUAGUAAAGUUGCUUGUCUCGAUCUUGUUUCAGACUAUUAGUAUCAUGCUAAGGCUGGUUUAAAUUUUUAAAGUUUCAUAAUUUGAGUUUUGAUUAGUAGUUUCGGGCUACUUGUAUCUUGUUAUACCGGAUUUCAUAAUUAAAUUUCCAUGCUUUGAUUUCCUUCAAUAGUUUUUGGGUUUAUGGUGUCUUGUCUAUGUUCAGUUACUUGACGUAGUUUUGAUCGUUGCCAUUAGUUUGAUGUGGUUCAGCUGGUAGGGUCAUUAGUAGGACCACCUCUUGACUUCUUCGACUUCUCAAAUGACAAAAGAAUAACAAUGUUACGAUUAAUAAAAAUUAGCAAAUCCCAUGAUUCCUUGAUGAUUAUCUGUACCCGAUAUAAUAUAAGAGAGGAGAGGUAGAACGAAUUUGUUUUGGCUCCUCUGUAGCGUAAAUUUGUUUAUGCCUUUCUUUAGUAAUUAUCUUAAGGCGAGGGGUGAUUGCUCGCAUAGUGAAGUUGUUUGGAAAGUGCUUUGUUCUGGUUGAGUGCUUCGAUGGCCCGUAAAUAAAACUUUCUUUCUUAGUUUUUGUAUACUCUUUUUCAUUGGUGGGCACUUAAGGUUACUUGUUUGAACCGUUCGUGAUUUACUAUUAAUGCAAGAUUCUCCAACAUGUUGCAGCAUCUCCAUACUGUAGUGAAUAAAAGCCAUGUACUCUCUUUGAACUUUACAUAAGAUUAAGAAGUGGCUCUUUUUACUAGUGCCCUUCCAUGCAUAUGUUUACUUCCGUGCCAAAGUCUAACAUAACAUGAUGUGCUCUUUUCGAUCUCUAUGUUAAAAAUUAAAAACCAAUUAGACACAGUUGCAUGUCGUAGGUAUCACCAAUUUAGUGGCUAAGUUUUUUUUUAGUUUAUUGAUGUAGUGAUUUUUAUUGAAAACCUAGAACUUCCUGAAUUUUCUUUAUUAUAAAAAUAAUUCACAUUUUUAUGAAUACGUAUUAAUUCAUAUAUCUUUUCUUUGCAUGAACCCACCUUUGAGUCCAAACAGAAUCUUUCCCGUAAUUAAGUUAUCGAUGUGAGCCAUUGAGGCUCCUUCCUUCUGAGUCGAUCUCGAAGAUGAUCUCGUAAUACAAAUGCAAGGACUUGAUAGAAGAAAGUAUGGGCUAAACCCCAUUGAUUGAAGCGGCAAAGGAGGACUUGAAAGCUAUCAUUUUUAUUUAUUUACAUCGUCGCCUUUAGUUAUUUAUUGAUUUGUUUGUUUAUUUCUUUAUUUCAUUCAUUUGGGGCCUCGAAGCCAAAGUUGUAUUUAAUACAGGUGAAGCAAGAUUUGAUCCAAACGCUCGAAAACUAGAUUAGGACAGGUGAAAAUGGGUCGAAAGCCCAAUAAGACUAGGACAGGUUUCAUUGAUUUGGGCCCAAUGGCCUAAAUCACUACUUCUCCCCUUUCUCUUUUUCCUUUUGCUUACUUGUUUUACGUAUUUUCUUGCGAAGCUAGUUAAAUCCCAAACUAAGUCGCUAAAAGACUGAUUUUGCAAAAACUCUUUCCUUAAUCAACUAUUUUUCCAACAAAUUGAUUUUCCGAAGUUAAUCAAAAGAUUGUUUUCAAACAGAUUGGAUAACCGCAAGUUAGCAGACGUUUUAGGUGCCUAACACCUUCCUAAAAUGUUAAUAGGAACCGCUUACUCAGAAUCUCUUAACUCAAAACAAUUUUUCUAUUUUGAAUCGUUUGAAGUAAUUCUCUAAAGGUUUCUUAUUUCCUUUUCAAAAUUAAGUGGCGACUCUCUUCUUUAUGUCAAAAUUUCCGCAAAACACUGAUAAUGCCUUUGAACUAGGGGAAGUUACCUUGUAAACAAUUUUUUUUUGACCAUGGAAUUCUACAUCAAACCACUAUACCUCAUACCCCUCAACAAAAUGGAGUCGUUGAAAGAAAACACAAAUACUUGCUUAAGGUUUCUAAAUCUCUUUUGUUUCAAUCUAGUUUGCCUAAAAAAUACUGGGGUGAAUCUGUUUUAAUAGCCAUAUACCUUAUCCACAGACUGCCCUCCUCUUUAUUACAAAAAUAUAUCUCCUAUUGAAAAGUUUUUUGGUCAUUCCCCAUCUUAUAAACAUCAUCAUUCUUUUGGAUGCCUCUGUUAUCCAUCUUCUACCCAACUUGGAAAGGAUAGGUUUACAUCUAGAUCUGUUCCAGCCAUAUUUCUUGGCUAUCCAUAUGUUAAGAAGGCAUACAAACUUCUUAUCCUUUCUUCUCAUUCAAUUAUUUUACUCCAUGGAUGUCAUUUUUUAUGAACAUGUCUUUCCUUACCUUUCUCCUUCUCCUCCUUCUUCCUCCUCCUCUUCUUUUCCUCCUGCUAUCCCUUUUGUUGAUAUUCCUUCCUUUGCUUCCACUCCUAUUUCUCCAGUUCCACUUGUUCCAGCUUCUUUACUUGAUCCACCUAUUCCUAUCCCACCUAAUCCACCUAUUCCUCUUGCACUUAGUAGAAGAUCUUCUAGGACUAUAAAUAAACCCACUCAUCUUACACAUUAUAUUUGUAAUUCUAUUCAACAUUCUGAAGAGCAUAUUCAUAAGCUCAGUUUUACCACUAGACUAUUUCACAUCCUGCCUGGCAGAAAGCUAUGUUACAAGAGUUUCAAGCUCUUGCUUCUAAUGAUACUUGGGACAUUGUGCCCCUACCUCCUAAUAAGAAGGCCAUUCCUUGUAAAUGGGUCUACAAGGUUAAAUGAAAAUCGGAUGGCUCUAUAGAGAGAUUCAAAGCCCAUUUUAUUAUUAGAGGGGAUACUCAAAGAGAUGGCAUUGACUACACUGAAACCUUCUCCCCUAUUGUCAAACUCACCACCAUUAAAUGCCUUCUCACAAUUGCUAUAAAAAGGGGUUGGACUAUUUUUCAACUUGAUGUAAAUAAUGCUUUCUUACAUGGAUCUCUAGAUGAGGAAGUUUAAAUGAAACAUCCCCUUGGUCUCACUGUUUUGCCCUCUUCCCACUCUUCUGCUGCUCCAUAGGUAUGUAAACUUAAAAAUUCAUUAUAUGGUCUUAAGCAGGCCUCUAGACAGUGGUUUUCAAGGCUGCCUGAGGAUUUGCUAUCUAGGGGUUUUACUCCAAGAAAAAAUGACUAUUCAUAACACACUAAAGGUUCUUCUGAUUCUCUUACUGUGAUUGCUGUCUAUGUUUAUGAUAUUCUUUUGGCUGGGGCUGAUCUUAAUGAAAUGCAUGCUCUAAAAAGGUUUCUGGAUGCCUAAUUUUGCAUUAAAGACUUGGCCUUGUUCAUUAUUUCUUGGGUUUGGAAAUUGUUUCCACCCCUGUAGGUUAUACUAUUAGCCAGCACAAGUACACUACGGAUUUACUUCAAGAGUUUCAUAGUGACAACUUUACACCUGUCACUACUCCUCUUGACUCUUCUUUGAAACUAUUGGUUGAUAUGAGUGCUCCUCCUACUGAUUCCAUACUUUAUAGGCAUCUAAUUAGUAAAAUCAAUUUUCUACAACAUAUUCGACCUGAUAUUACUUUCUCGAUUCAACAUUUGAGCCAGUUUUUGGGUGCACCCCUGGUGACCCACAUGUUGGCUGGUUUGCAUGUUGUACGCUACCUUCUUAAUUAUCCUGGUCAGGGCAUUCUCAUCCCUAGGUCUUCUGAUUUCUCUCUUAUUGCCUAUUUCGAUUCAGAUUGGGCUGCUUGUGCUAAUUCCCGAUGAUCAGUCACUGGUUUUUAUAUUUCUCUUGGUGGUUCUCAUAUCUCAUGGAAAAGCAAAAAGCAACCAACGAUCUCUUUGUCCUCUUCUGAAGUAGAUUAUAGGGCCCUUCGCAAGGUAGUUGCUGAGCUAUGCUGGUUGUGCAGGUUAUUAGGUGACCUUGGUGUCCUUGUUUCUUCCCCUAUACUUGUUUUUUGUGAUAGCCAAGCGGCCAUCCAUAUUUUCAAGAAUCCAGUUUUUCACGAACGCACGAAACAUAUUGACGUUGACUGUCAUUUUGUCCGAAAUUAUCUGUUUGAUGGUCUCAUUUCACUUCACCAUCUUCGCACAAAUAACCAUCUUGCUGAUAUUAUAACCAAGUCACUUUCAGGUGCUGUUCAUCACCAGCUGCUAUCCAAGGUGUCGGCUACACCCCCUUCCAGCUUUGGGGGGGGGGUGGGGGGUUUAACAUGAAGAUUGGGCCUCACAAAAUGGGCCCAACAAAAACUCCGAACUAAUUAGUUGUCUAUGUAACAUAUUUGUAAUUGGAUCAUAAUUUAUUUAUGUGUAUUUUUUCUCUUUUACAUUUUUACAUAUAUUGAAGAUUUUUUCAGCUGUAAAGAGAGUUAACAGUGAAUAAAGAAAAAAUUUUCAUCUUCUUUUUCUUUUCUGUUUCCUCUCUCUUUCACCCUGGGCUUUUGCUCAACAAAUUCAUGGCGAUCUGUUGAUUCCCUAUCUAACCUGAAUCAUAAGAGUUUAGUGUACACAAUUUCACAUUAUAUUAUUAAUAUUUUAUUUUUAAAGAAUACCAUUUUUACUUUUGAAUUCAUGACAUUCUAAUCACAAUUAAUUUUAAAGAAUCUAAUAGAAGGUCAGAGCAUUGAACAAAAAAUUUGAGGUAUUUAGUGGUUGCUUGCCAUUUGAUUCUCAAUGUAUUAUCAUUCAUUUUUUUUGCAGUGGAGUUUUAUAAUUGGUGUGUUGGGUAGACUUGAAAGAAUUUUUUCUUUCGCAGUGGGUCCUAUGUCAAGUCUAUUUUGCAACGUAUUUAUUAACUUUGCUUUCUAUCGAAUUAUUUAGGGUAAAAUUCAGAAAUAGCAUACUUAUCCUUUUAAUUAUGAGUUUCAUAUCAACAGUUUCUUCCUUACAUAAUAUAACAAGUUGUAUUUUGUAUUUUUCGCAAAAUGUUGCUACAAAAAUAUCAAUACAUAUAAAUACAUAUGAUUUUUACUGCCCUUAUGAUCGAUAUGUAUUUUGUAUUUUUCGCAAAAUGUUGCUACAAAAAUAUCAAUACAUAUAAAUACAUAUGCUACAAAAUGUAAUUUGAUAAAAGUGUUGUUAUUUUUGUAAUUUAAUACUUAAGUAUGCUACUUAUUAUUUAUUAUUAAUUACUUCGUCAAUUUUAAUUUAUUUUUGUUUGACUUGACACGAAAUUUAAAAAUAAAUAAUAUUUUUAUAUUUGUUGUCUUGAAAUAAAAUAUAUAUUAAAUAUAUCAAUAUUUUUUUAAAAAAAUUUUGCUAUUAUAAAGAUAUCAUGUAAAAAUUUAUAAUUUAAAAAAUUACUAAACGCAAAGAGAUAUUUUUUAAAUGCCUAAAAAAAAUAAGCCAAAUAACUCAUGCAAGGCCAAUAGCUGAAAAGCUUAUAUAACACCAUAAUAGAUUAAAUAAAUCACACUGUGUUUGCAAUCGAAUGGAUGAAUUUAUCUAUUUUAUCCUUAAUUAAGUUUUAUGAUCUUUCAAAAUCUCAUUCAUUUUAGUAAAUUUGAACAAUUACAUGAGCUUUUAAAAUGCUAAAUAAAAAAUGAUGAGUCAUAAAAAAGUGAUAGUGAUACUACAAAAUAUCGAUUUAUCCAACUAAAUUUAAAAUUAAAUCAAAAUUUUAUUGCCUUUUUUAGGUGGAAUAAUAAUGUUUUAAUAAAAGAGGCUACUCGUUUUUUUUUCUUUCGUUUUAAUAAAAGAGAACACUCAUUUUUUUAAUCCUCACAAGAAAUUUGCGAAGCUUUAAAAUCUUGUAAGGUUUCACCCAGUGAAGAAGCAACUACAAAAAAUAUCAAUUUAGAUCAUUAAAGACUUACAUUUAAAAAACUUUCAGUGAAAUAAAAAAAAUUAAUUUAGUGUGUGCAUUUGUUUGAAAUUAAAAGAAAAACUAAAAUAUAUCAUAAGAAAAAUGUUAUUUUUAACUAAUAAAAACAUUUACUCCUUAUAUCAUAAGAAAAAUGUUAUCCUUAGCUUAUAAAAACAUUUACUCCUUUGUUUUAAUUUAUUUGUUUGAUUUUAAAUUGAUAAAUAAUUUGAGCUAUUAUUAUUGAUAAUGUGGACAGCUAAUAUGAGAUGAAUAAAGUAUGUAGUUUUUAAAUCUUGUGGUUUUAGAUUUAUCAUAUAUAAUGUUAAAAUUUAAAAAAUUUACAACAGAUAGAUUUUUCUUGGAACAUACCAAAAAAGAAGUAAGACAUUUAAAUUGAGAUGAACGAAUAACAAAUUUUUAUGAUUUUUUUUAGCUCUUUAAUUUCUUUGAUUUAUAUUAUAUUAGAUUUUAUUUAUAACGUUUAUACUUAAAUUGUAAUGAGUAUAUUUUAUAUAAUGAUGAUGGCCUUAAUAAUUUUUUUUUAAAAUCAAAAUUAGAACAACUCAAUUUUUACCUAACCAAAAAUUUAUAUUAAAGUGUACUAUUUAAUUAAGGUAACGUAAUGAAGAUUACUUAUUAUUUAUGGAGGAAAAUAAUUUUGUAAGAAGUAUCUCAAAACUAAAAAUACUAUAAUUAUGAAUAAGAAGAUCAAAUAAAUUACUCUUUGUAUUUUCUUAAUAUAAAUUUUUGGCAAAUUUAGUAAUAGUAAAAAUUUAUGAAUAAUUCAUUUUGACAUGUCAUUAGAUUUUAUUAAUUAUGCAGCAAAAGAGUAUAAUGCAAAUCAAUUCUUUUUAAUUAAAGUAUUAUUAUUUUUAUAUUUGAAGUUUGGGCCAGGCUUAGCAUGGAUCACGAAUAACUAGUAUAGUAAAAAAAUUAUAAAAAGUAAAAAUUUAAGACUAUAAUUAUAAUAAAUAACAAUACUUUUACAAAAUCACAUUUUAUAGUAGAAGUAGCAUUAUUUUUCCCAUUAACUACACAAGCGCAUGUUUUACUCCACAUAUUUUACCUUUUUCUAUUUUUUUCUCCAUUAUUUUAUUUUCCACCAAUCUAACCGUAUCUUUUACUCAAUUUUGUUUUAAUUUUUGUCUAUUUUUCUCAAGUUGUUGAUAAAAAUAUUGUGCUCCAUCAAAUAAGGUCAAUUGAUAUUUACAGUCAUUGCAUGUUAUCUCUUCCAUAUAAUUUAUAUAUUUUAUAUUUUUUGUAUUUUUUUCCUUCAAUCAUGUUCUUCUAUUUUUUUUUUUUUUGGAGUUUUGUGAUUUUUUUUUGCUAAAAGAUUGUGGAGAUCUGCUAUAAUGGCAAAACACAUGUGUAGAAGUUCAAAUAGAGGUAUACCGCCUGUGAAUUUAGUUUUUGAUAAUCCACCAUCAUUUAGUCUUGGUUUAACACAAGAUGAAUAUCUUAAAUUGAUUUCUAUGUUUAUUUAGUCAAAGAGAGAAGUGAGCAUAGAAGAGAUAAAAUCAAAGCAUCUUAACAAUUCGGAGAAGAUUACGGAAAUUAUGAAGCAAAAAAAAUUGAGAAAACCUUCAUUUCCAAAAUCUCCCAAAAAUGCAAAAAUCUGUGAAAAAGAGAAAGUCAAAUGAAAUGAGAGAGUCAACUAAAAUACCAAGUCCUGUUGAACAAAGUUCACCUGAAUAUGAAUAUGAAGAAGAAAAGUGAAAGAGGCAUUUGCAUAUGCAUGUAUUUUUUUUUAUAGAUGAUGGGCUAUCUACAGAUAUAUGUAUUUUUUAAUAUAUAUAUAAUUACGCUUAUAUUUGUUUUUCAAUUGAUAAUAUAUGUAUUUGUAGUAUUUUUUUUAUUUAAAAUAUGUAGUAUGUAUUUUGUGUUGUUCAGUCAUAUAUAUAUAUAUAUAUAUAUAUAUAUAUAUAUAUAUAUGAAGUUGUAUUUGUUAUUGUUAAGAUAUGAAAUUGUAUUUGUUACUGUUAAGACAUCAGGACAUGAGUUGUAUUUGUCACUGUUAAGAUAUGUAUUUGAUAUGACAUUUGUAUUUGUUUGUUCAAUAUUGCUAUGAUAUGUAUUUUGUAAAUACAUAUGCGUUUAUUUAUGUAUUCUGGAACAACCAUGUAUAUUGAAAAUACAUACGCAGUGAUAUAUGUAUUUGUUGUAAUAUAAUAUGUAUGAUGUUAUAACAAAUAUAUGCAUAUUAUGUAUUUUGUAUUUUUUUUUGUAAGAAGUACAUGUAAUAUAGAUUUACAAUUUUUUUUUUUGGUCUCUAGAAUUCAAUAACUUUUUGAUCUAAAUGUAUUUGCAGGAAUUGUGAAUUGUAUAUGGUGACUUAUGUUGAGUGCCUAAUUUAUAGUGAAGGUAUUCCUUAUGUUGACUUCGAGCCAAACCUUCUUUGCACAAGAUAUGUUUACUUUUGUGGUACUACGAUUUGAGAAAAGGAGAAGAUAAGACACAAAAUGAUGAUGAAGCAUCAAUGAGGAAUGUUAUGAAAAUCGGGAUAACAGAAGACAUUGAAGUGCUAGAAGUUUGAUGAUUUAUUUUAGAGUAAAUACAUAAUUACCCUCCUGAUGUUGUCCGAGUUUUUCAAAAAGACACCUAAACUUUACUUUCGACCUAUUACCCCACGAUUCUUACUAAAACCGUUGCAAAUAUACCAUUUUUGCUGAAUUUCAGUUACAACAACUCCACUCCACCCCCCAUCCCCACCCUCGUCCAGUUGCUGAUUUCUCCAUUUUUCUUGCUCUUUGGAUUUCGUUUCAAUGGUUCCAAUUUCGUGUUUAUGUUAAUUUUGUAAUGCUUCCUAAUUUUGUAUUGAUUUACGUAUUUGUUGAUUGUUUAAUGAUGACAUCAAAACUCCAUUAAAAUGGAGCUUUAUAGCUUCUUAAGAGGAUAUAUAACAACUAUAAAAAGUAAAAAUUAGAAUUUAAAGUAGACAUAACAAUCAAAUAUCAAGAAAUAGAUAUUUUAAGAAUGAUUUUGUUGAGAAAAGUUUGAGAAGAGAGAUAAAUUUUUUCUUCAAAAUAAGCUAUCAAUGGAGGAAGAAGAGAAGAGGAAGAAGAGAAUUGGGUUUGUUUAAGUGGAGAAGAAGAGAUUUUAAAAUAUUUAACAAAUAAUUACACGUGGUGGCUUUUGAUUGGGUAUUUAAGUCAACUUUGAACCAUUCACGCGCUUUCUAUUCGUGUUUACACGCAUAUUUAAAAUUUUGAUCAAAAUGGUGUAUUUACAACCGGUUUAGUAAGAAUUGUGGGGUAAUAGGUCGGAAGUAAAGUUUAGGUGUCUUUUUGAAAAACUCGGACAACAUCAGGAGGGUAAUUAUGUAUUUCCUCUUUUUUUAAUAUCUUGUAUCUGACAAAAGUUAACUGUAGAUCGACAGAGACGUAGUUGAAUAGUUCUUAAGUUUCACACACACACACGCACACACACACGCACACAUAUAUAUAUAUAUGUAUAUAUAUGGAUGCAGUUUACAUAUUAAUAUAUACAUAUGCAGUUUUCAGAUUUCUCUUUAAAAUACAUAUGCAGUUUACAUUACAUUCAUAUGUUUAUAGAUAUACAUAAAAGGUUUCACAUUAUGCACUUUAUAUAUGUAUUUUAAGUUGCUUCAUAUAUGUAUUUUACUUCGUGUUCAUAUAAUAUCAAAUACAUAUACUGCUCAUAUAUGUAUUUUACUUUGUGUUCAUAUACUGUAUAGUUUACUUUGUGUUCAUAUAAUAUAUAGUUUAGCAAAUACAUUUAGCCAAAUUCAUAAAAACUAUGUUGUUAACUAUGACACCUAAUACCAAUAAACAACUAUACAAGUAACUAUUACAACAGAGGUUGGAAUAUAUAGAGGCGACAAAUAUAUUUUCGAAUACACAAUUUUUGUAAAAAAUUAUGAAAAACUGCGAUUAUGAUUUAAGAGUUAUUACUAUUUUAAGAAAAUACAUAUAGGUCUUAUUAUUUGAAUAAAAACAUAUUUAUCAAAUACAUUUAUCAAAAAAUAUAUGUACUUUUCAAUGCAACAGCAUAUGUAUUUUUCGUUCAAAGUUAGAAAUACAUAACUGUAUUACUUAUUGUAAUUUAUAAUGCAUUAUAGUAAAUGAAAGAUAAAUGUCAUUAAACACAUUUAACAAAUUAGUUCAUUAAUAUGAAAAGUGUAAACGGAAUUAUAAAGAAAGAAAAUAUUAGAACAAAUGUAUCAUUUACAAUACUUACUACACGAACGUCUAUUGUGACCCUUAGGCCCACACCAACUACAUGAGUUGAUGUUCUUCUUUCCAAAUAUAUUCCUUUUGAUUUUUCACAAUCUUUCUUUGUAGGUCUGUCAGGAUAUCGUUUGUAUUUUGGAGGCAGUACUAUUUCAUCAAGUAUAUUAUCUGAAAUUAUCCAGUCAUCUUUGUGUGGUAAAGAAUAGAUUGAAACAUCAUAUAUUUUCAAGACUGUUUUUGGCUUAUACAAAUCACAACAAUAUGGGCCUUGGGUGAAAUUGUUGCUAUCCAAGACUACACAAGCAUGUGCACAUGGUAUCUCAUUCAGUUGAAACAUGUGACAUGGACAUGUUUUUUCCUUAAGGCAAACAAUAAAAUAUUUUUUCUUGUCAUGCAUUGUGUAGUCAUACUCUUUGGCUGGUACAAUCUGAUAUUAUUUUUUAAAAAGUAAAUUAUAAAAGAUCCAACCCAAAUAUGUAAAUGUAUUGCUACAAACAGAUGCAAACUGUAUAUUUUUUUUUGCACAUGGUACAAAAUCAAUUAUUCUGCACCUCAGAACACAAUGCUAUCGACAUUUUCAAGUGACAUCCAUCUACUCUGUAAAUGAGUUCUUCAUGGUCUCCUUCAGGGCAGAGAAAUCUUAUUAGAAGGGGGUGUACGGGCACCUGUUAACUUCGGAAAUAACUCUGUAUAUAUAGAGAGAAGUAUCGAUUACCCCUGAACUUGUCGCGUUUUAUUCACAAUACACUUGAACUUUGACUAGUCCUAAGUAUCUCCGAACUUGUUCUUUUAGUAUGUCGCGUGCCCCUUUUACAUUGAUGUGGCAAAAUAUUUGAGUUCAACCUCCAUCACGUGCGUGAUGGAGGUAUUUUUAUGCCAAAUCAGCAUUUUUAAUGAUAAAAAAACAAAAAAAAAUCUAUUUUCCUUUAAUUUUUUUAAAAAAUUCAAUUAUCCCUCUCCCUAUUUAUUGUCCCUCUUCCUUCAUUACUUCCAAUCUAAAAAAAAAUUCAUCCGUGUAUUAAUUUUAUAAAACUCCAGUUUAUUAAUUAGUUUAUGAAAUAAAAAUUUCAUCCGUUUAUUAAUUCAAUCUAAAAUUUCAGUUUUCAUUCCUAUAAAACUCCUUCAAUUUUGUAAUCUUAAUUAUAUAUAUCAUAUGAGUUAUUGUAACUAAAAAAAUGUACUAAAUAUUGAAGCAGAUAUUUUAAACAAUAUUAACAAAACAAAUACUAAAGAAACUAAGACACAUACUUAUAAUAAAUGUAGUUAUAUUAGUUAUCGGUUUUUAAUCCCUAACAAUUUGAUUUUCGAUUUAACUGAUAAGAAAAGACUCAUGAAAAAAAAAGUAGUGACUAACAUGAAAAGAAACCGAAUUUUAGUUGCAACAAAAAUCCUACUUAUAUAUAUAUAUGUAUAUAAAAUAAUAAUUUAAUAUAAUCUUAUUGGGUUAUCGAUUUACCCAAUAACUUAGUAAAAAAAUCGAAAUCGAAUCAAUAACCCAAUAAUUUUUUUUAUAAAAUCAUUAAAAAAUUGUUAACCCAAUAACGAUAAAUCAAUAACAUUUUUAUCGGUUUAAUUUUUGUACACCCCUAACUUAAAUUACAAUUUCUUAAUGAGAAAAUAGUCAAAUGCCCCUCUAACCUUUACCCCAAAUCCUAACUACACACCUAUACUUUGCGGGGGUCCUAUUACCCCCCUGAACUAUUUUAAAAUGGAUUUAUUUCCUCCUUAAAUGCUGAGGUGGCAUGGAAGGUGUAGUACACUCUCUUUGAGAGAGUGAAGACAUUUUAACUUUUUUUUUAAAAAACUGUUUUGCUAUUCUGGCCAUUCACACAUAAUUUAGUGGACACUUAUUUCGUUUUCCACAAGAGAGAAUUGUUGCAAAUGAUCACCAACACACUUCUUUCUUAAAUCACAUCCUCGAGGAAAUACAGAAAUAUAAUUUCACAAGAAUUCACACUUGACAACUCCAUUGUACCAAGUCAAACAUGCUCUUUACAACAACAAAAAAACAUUUUUGGCAUUCUAGAGAAAAAGCAAAUUACUUCAAAACCAAGAAAUAUAGUAGCCAUCUAUUUUGCUCGGGAAUUUUGAAAAAAAUUAAAUAAUUGAAGAGACCAAACCAAGCUUAACGUCAUCAUCAGCCAUCUAUUUCCUCUCCAUCAUCAGAACUAAAACUAACUUCAAAAUAGAACUCUAAGUUUUAAUUUGUCUUCUUUCUCUUCUCUCUUCUUUCUUUCUUCUCUUCAACAAAGCAAGCACCAUGGCUGCUCCACCAUCAACAAAAAAUCUUUACUCAAAAAUCAACUUUUUUUUUAAAAAAGAAACAAAUAUAAAAUUGAUUUCGGGUAACAAGUUCAUUCAUUGUGUUGAAUGUUGAAUUGGGUCAUCUCCACACAUAUCCCAAAUGGGUCAUCUUCACUUCCAUUAAAAUAGCAAAAUUAACAAUUACUUUUACAACAAAAAAAAACCAACUAAAAUCACAAAAUGGGUAAACUCUAAUUCCACAAAAAAACAACUCAAUUAACAAUUACUUUUACAAAAAAAAAAAAAAACAACUAAAAUCACAAAAUGGAUAAACUCCAAUUCCAUAAAAAACAACUCAAUUAACAAUUACUUCAACACAAAUAUGAAAUGAGUCAUCUUCCAUUCUAUGGAGUUGUUGUCAUUGGUGGUUCCGGGCUCUAGUGGACAGCACUUGGCGGCAGCGGCAGCCAUGGUCGGGAUUAGCGGCUGAAAAAGUGGGAGAUCGUUGGUGGUUUGUAAUUAGGUGAGAAGAGAAAAGGAAAAACGAAAUUAGAAAAGAGAAUGAAUAAAAGAGAAAAGGAAAAUAUAUAAGAAAAAUAAUUAAUUUUUUAGAUUAAAAAAAUAUGAUGUGGCAUUACUGUUCAGCGCGUGCAUUACACCACAUCUCAAAUGACUGGUUGUCCUAUUUCGGGGGUGUAAUAAUUCCACUUUUAAAUUGUUCAGGGGGAUCAUAGGACCCCCGCAAAGGAUAGGUGUGUAGUUGGAAUUUGGGGUAAAGGUUGAGGAGGCUUUUGAUCAUUUUCUCUUUCUUAAUCCAUUAAUUAUAAUAAGAAACGUAUUUAUGCAUGUGACUCUCCUCAAAAUCCUAAUCGAAACACUAAUCGAAAACUACUAUGAAACACUAACCGGAAAAAAAUAAUUUCAUAUUAUGAAACACUAAUCGGACAAAAAUAAUUUCAUAUUUUUAAAACAAAAAAAUAUAUAAUUUUUUAAAUAAUAGCUUACUUGAUCGAUGAAAAUUAUAUCUUUCACUAUUUUGGAGUAGAGAAAAAUUAAAAAAUAUAAUUUUUUUUAGAGAGAAAUCGAAUAAUUAAGGGUAGAAAUGGGUUAUUUUUUAAUAUAAGAUAAAUAUAAGGAAAGUAAAUGGUAUUAUCCACGUGGACAACCACAUCAAUAUUUUUAUCUACGUGUCCGUGCAUGUAUUACGCGCAGUGGACAGUGGGCCAAAAAGAGUGGCGCGACAAACUAAAAGAACAAGUAAAAAAAAAGGGGGGGGAGGUACUUAGGACUAGUAAAUGUUCAGGUGUACCAUAAAUAAAACGUGACAAGUUCAGGGGGUAAUUGAUACUUCUCUCUUUUUUUACUUACUGAAAAUGUGUGCUUAUAAAUACAACUACAAAUUAAUUUGUUGAAAAUAAUGGAGAAAAUUAUUAUUGAAUUAUGUAUAUACAUAAUUACAAUGACACCCUAUUUAUAGACACUAAAUUACAAUCCUUUUUCAAGUAGAAUUUUGUAUACUAUUCAUGUUCCUACUCAUAUUCUAACACUCUCUCUCAAGCUGGUGCAUACAAGUCAUAUGUACCAAACUUGUUACAAAUGUAAUUAAUACGAGGACUGAUGAGAGACUUGGUGAAGACAUCUGCAAGUUGAUCACUUGACUUUACAAAUUUUGUAGCAAUAUCUCCUGAGAGUAUCUUUUCUCAGACAAAGUGGCAAUCAAUCUCUAUAAGCUUGGUCCUCUCAUGGAACACUGGAUUAGAUGCAAUAUGACGGGAUACUUGGUUAUCACAUACAAGUUUCAUCUUACCAGUUUCUCCAAAAUUUAGUUCUCUCAACAAUUGCUUGAUCCAAACUAGUUCGCAAGUUAUUGCAGCGAUUGUUCGAUAUUCUGCUUCGCCACUAAACUGAGCAACCGCACCCUGUUUCUUACUCUUCCAGAACACCAAAUUACCUUCUAUUAAAACACAAUAUCUAGAUAUAGAACGUGUAUCAGAGGAUGAUCCUGCCCAAUCAACUUCUGUAUAUCUAGUGAUAUGCUUAUGGCCUCGAUCCUCGAAGAGUAGUCCUUUACCUGGAGAUGACUUUACAACAACAACAACAACAAACCCAGUAUAUUCCCACCUAGUGGGGUCUAGGGAGGGUAGAAUGUACGCAGUCCAUACCACUACCUCUAAAGAAGUAGAGAGGCUGUUUUCGAUAGACCCCCGGCUCAAGACACAAGACAAUAUACAAAAAUAUUCAAAGCAUGAAACAUGAUAAAACUAACAUGGAUACAACAUUCACAAAAGUAAUGUAUAAUACCAAACAAAAAACACCAAAACCCUCCUAACUACGGACUACGAUUCAUCCACUACCUUAUCCCUGUAUCCUAGUGUUUUUCCUCCAAACCUUCCUAUCCAGGUUCAUGUUUUCAAUGAGACGUAACUGCUCUAUCACGUCUAAUCAUUUCUCUCCAGUAUUUCUUCGGUCUACCCCUACCCCGCUUGAAACCAUCUAACGCUAGUCUGUCACACCUACGAAUUGGGGCAUCCGUGCCCCUCCUCAUCACUUGACCAAACUAUCUCAACCUCACUUCUGCAUUUUUUCCUCCACCGAUACCACUCCCACAUUCUCUCGAGUAAUCUCAUUCCUAACCCUGUCAGCCCUUGUAAGAUCACACAUCCAACAUAACAUCCUCAUUUUCGCCACCUUUAACUUUUGGAUAUGGGAAGUCUUAACUGGCCAACACUCUGCUCUGUACAACAUAGCCGGCCAAACUGCAACUCUAUAGAAUUUGCCUUUAAGAUUUGGAGGCACCUUCUUAUUGCCUAAAAUCCCCGAAGCGAGCCUCCAUUUCAUCCAACCUGCCCCAAUACGGUGCGAGACAUCCUUAUCUAUCUCUUCAUUUCCCUAGAUUGUAGACCCAAGAUACUUACAACUAUCCAUCUUGCAAACUACCUGGAGAUGACUUUAUAUAUCAUAAAAUACGAAUAACUGCAUUCCAAUGAAUAACAUAGGGAAAAGUCAUAAACUGACUUGCAACACUCAUUGGAAAAGAGAUGUCAGGUCUAGUCACUAUGAGAUAAUUUAACUUUUCAAUCAACCAUCUAUACCUUUCAGGAUCACUAAGUGGCUCCCCCUUUUUUUGGAAGAAGUUUAGCAUUUGGAUCCAUAGAAGUAUCAAUGGGUCUACAACCUAUCAUUCAUGUUUCCUCAAGAACGUCUAAAGCAUACUUGCAUUAAUAAAUAACAAAACCUGAUCUAGACUGAGCAAUCUUAAUACCUAGAAAGUAUUUUAAUCUGCCAAGGUCUUUAGUCUGGAAAUACUGAAAGUGAUGUUGCUUUAAGUUAGUGAUAUCAUCUUGAUCAUUGCCGAUGAUAACAAUAUCAUCAAAAUAAACCACCAAAUAAAUACACAGAUUUAGUUUAGAUUGGCGAUAAAACACUGAAUAAUCAGCUCCACUACGAAUCAUGCCAAACUCCUGCAUAACUAUGCUAAAUUUUUCGAACCAGGCUCGAGGGAAUUGUUUCAAACCAUAGAGUGACUUGGGCAAUCGACAUACAAGGCUACUAGACUCCUCCUGAGCAACAAAAUCGGGUGGUUGCUCCACAUAGACUUCUUUCUCAAGAUCACUAUACAGAAAAGCAUUCUUAAUUUUCAACCGAUAAAGGGGCCAAUGACGAACAACAACCUUAGAGAGAAAAAGAUAGACUGAUGCUAUUUUAGCCACGGGAUAGGAAAUGUCACUAUAAUCAAGUUCAAAUAUUUGUGUAUAUACAUUGAAAAUAAGGCGUGCCUUCAGCCGAUCAACCUGACCAUCUGGACCAGCUUUGAUUGUAUAAAUCCAAUGACUAGUAGAUUUACCUAUAGGAAGGAAAACAAGAUCCCAAGUACCAUUUGUAUGUAAAGCAGAUAUCUUAUCAAUCAUAGCAUGUUUCAAUCUUGAAUAGGAAUGUUUCAAAGAAUGUGACAUCAACGGACAUAAGAUAGCUGCCCAGAUCAGGUGAAUAACAUCGAUACUCUUUUUAAACUCGAGAGUAACUAAGGAAGACAAAUUUGAGAGCAUGAGAGGCUAUUUAUCUUUUUCUGGGGCUAAGUUAUGAACAAAACUUGUACCCCCAAAAAUAUGAGGGGAGAUAUAGUAGAGAUAUGACUGAGGAAAUAGUAUAGAAUGGGGAACCUUAUUCUAGAUCGAAGAUGAUGAUAUUAUGUUAAUGAGAUAGCAAGAUGCGAGGACUGCAUACACCCAAAAACACAGCAGAACAUGGGAUUCAAUGAGAAGAGUGCUAGCAGUCUCAAUGAGAUGCCUAUUUUUCCUCUCUACUAUACCGUUUUGCUGAGGGGUGUAUGGACAUAAUGUCUGGUGAAUGAUUCCCUGAUGAGUCAUAAACUCCUGAAAUUAGGAGCAUAAGUAUUCUAAGGCAUUAUCACUACGAAAAGUACGAAUAGAAACACCAAAUUGAUUUUGUAAUUCAGCAUAAAAACUUUUGAAUAUAGAGAAUAACGCGAAACAAUCUUUCAUCAAGUAAACCCAAGUACAUCUUGAAAAAUCAUCGGUGAAAGUAACAAAGUAACAAAAUUCUAUGGAUGAACUGACACUACUACGACCCCAAAUAUCAAAAUAGACUAAUGAGAAAAUAGACUCUGAGCGAGUCUCAGUACUGCAUGAAAAUAUAGCACGAGUGUGUUUUCCAAGUUGACAUGACUCACAAUCUAAUAUGGAUAGACUAAACAAACUAGGCACCAUGGAUAGACUAGACAAACUAGGCACCAUCUUUUGUAACUUGGAUAGACUCAGAUGUCCCAAAUAUUUAUGAAUAAGGUCGGGAGGGUCUGUAGCGGAGCAUGCUAUGAAAAAAUUUGAAAAGGUAAGAUAGUAAAGGCCUUGUGAUUCAUGCCCCUAUGCCUAUUGUCUAUCCCAUUUUACGGUCCUGUAUUAUAAAAGAAUCAUAAAAAAGAGUUAUACUACAAUAAAGGUCAUGUGUCAAAUGAUUAAUAGAUGCAAGAUUAAAAGGACAACCAGGGACAUAAAGAACAAAAUCUAGAGUGACAGAAGAUAGGUAUUGUCAUUACCCAGACCACCAGACCGUGUGGGCACCUACGCUAUCCUAAGCAGGUUGAAGAAUCCUUAUUACCCAACUAAAAAUAUGCGGAAGAAUUUCGUUUUAAGGAAAUACUGGAUUAAAUAUAAUAAGGAAAAUUAAAUAUUAAUAAAUAAUCUUUUUAAAAAACUUCUUACAAGUGUCCUUCACUAGCCUAAGACUUGGUCAGACAUGUACAAGAGCUAUCUACUACAACAUAGACUAACAAUAAAAUAAAUAAUAAAAAGACUCUAACAUCUGCCAGGAAGAACGUGCAGAAGUUAGUGCUAAAUAUCGUCAUCCAUCUAGUAACUGCAACUAACCUGCAUCCAGUCUACACUCCAAGAAGAAAUGUAGAAGAGUAGGGUCAGUACAACUACACAAUACUGGUAGGCAUCAUUGGCCGACCGUGUUAGUCUAUACAAUCAUAAAAUAGAAUUAAGAAAAAUAAAUUAUGACAUCUUGAAUGGAAUAUAAUUUAACUAAGGUAGUAAUAACAUUAUUACUUUACCUAUAUAACUUACAUCAUCUAAUUACUCUUCUAACUACAUCCAUAUUAUAUUCACUACUAACAUACUCAAGCCUCAUUAAUUCACACAAUCAACCACAAUCCAACACUAAUACAUCACUAUUCCUCUUUAUUCACCUUAUCUUUUUCAUUACUCAUAUUCACAGGAACAAACUCAUAAUCAUAAAUAACCCAUACUAAACUCUAGGGCUAACAACCAAAUGCUCUAUUACAAUAUUAAAGAAUGAUAACUAGCUAUUCCAGUAAGCUACCACUAAAACACGUAUAAAUAAAGCAAGUCAACCAAUAUAUAAGUAAGUACAAAGUUUUACUUUUUCAAAUACAUAUCACACAAUCAAAUACCCAAUGAAUUAACAAUACAACAAUAACAGAUUAAACAACGCUCAUAAACAAGCCACAUAACCAUCAAGAGUAUCAAUCAUAUUGUAAACAUCCACAGACUCAAAACAAAUAUGUACACAUAUGCUAUGAAACUUAUUUUUGCCCAAAUAGUCAUGACCUGCAGGGAACAAUCUAUGUUUAUGUACCAUACCAAUGUGGUACCCGAUCUGACAUAUACAUAUCCGUACCAGUGUGGUACCCGAUCCAACAUAUACAUAUCCGUACCGGUGUGGUACUCGAUCCAACAUAUACAUAUCCGUAUUGGCGUGGUACCCGAUCCAAUAUAUACAUAUCCGUACCGGCGUGGUACUCGAUCCAACAUAUACAUAUUCGUACCAACAUGGUACUCGAUCCAACAUAUACAUAUUUGUACCAGUGUGGUACCCUAUCCAAUAUAUACAUAUCUGUACCGGCGUGGUGCUCAAUCCAACAUAUACAUAUACGUACCGGCGUGGUACCCGAUCCACUAUAAACAAGUCUUAUCAAUAUCAAAUUUACACAACCUCACAACAUAUAUACAAUAAUGUACCAAGUUUGCAAGUACACUUAAAGUCAUAAGAUAAUUCCAUCACGUAAAUUUUCAAUAAUCAUUUAUACACGCAUCAAAAAUUUCAAGCAUGUCUGAAUACCAAUCAACAAGUAUUCAUAGCAUUACUUUAAGGAGUUAUCAUUAUCAAACAAGCCACUCAUAGUCACAAUUCAAUAAACCAUCAUCAUCACCAAUUUAGCCUCUCAUGGGCAUCCAAUAGAUAUAGUAUUUUUAUCAAUAUCAAAACAAAAAUAUCAUAAAUAAAUCACAAUUUAAUUCUCACGGAUACAAGUCACUAUUGGAGCUAUAAUUACUCAUUAAUUACUAAAAUAUCACUAUCUUCUUAAAUACCGCAACUUGGAUUCUAAUAUCACCACCUAUAACUAGCACAUUCACGUGUAUCAUUAUCCUCUACCGCUUUUCACAUAAUACAAUCAUCACACUAAUUCUCCUUAUCCUAUUAUUGCACAAUUCAUACAACCCAAUACUAUUACAACUCAACUAAGUUAAUUACUAGAACAACUAAAAAGACCAUCACGUUCAUAUACUAUAUUUACAACAAUCUCCUUUCGAGCACAUAAUACAUAAUAUCAUAAAUAUCACAUAAUCAAUAAUAUAGUUUUUGGGAUUAAAGUUAAGUACUCGUGUCUUUAUCCACCUCAACUCCAUUCCCGCAGGCCUAGACAUAAUUUCUCCCAUAAAUUCUAAAUUAUGAAAAUAUAAAAUAAGAUAAUCUUCUACUCACUAAACCUAGCCUACCUGGACGCCAACAUUUUGGUAGAAGCAAGCUGCAGUAAGGAUGCUAUUUCCUUUUUUCCAUGCCUUGGAACAAUCAAUCAUCUAAAAAUCAAGCAAUUAUAAGAGUACUUAAAUAAUUACUCUUCAAACAAAUAUCUUGGGAUUCAAACCCAUUAAUUCUACCUUUAAUUCAAAGUCUAUAUCAUUCCCCAAUUCAAUUAACCAAAUUAAUCCUUUCAAGUUUAACCCAUCUCCAUUAAUGGAGUUUUUAUGCUGAAGGUCUCAUCUUUACGGAAUUCAAGGUUCCUAAUUAUCAAAAUUCAUAAUUUAGUUUAUGAAAUUCAUGUUAGGAAUCUUUAAUUUAUAGUUUAGAAUUAGCUCUAGGUCAUAUUAAAAAUACCCAUGAGUGUUCCCUAAAAGAAUUCCACCAUUAAAGGUUUUUUUAAGGAUUUCAAGAUGUUAAAGAAUCAAAAGAUGAAGAAAAUAAUGAAAAAACUUACCUCAACGAAGGAAUUUCACCUUAAGCCUUGGAUAAUCACCUCUCUAGGGUUGGCUAAUGAAAUUUGGGGUUUUUAGAAUUAAAAUAAGGAUGAAUCUGAUUUAAACACCAUCAAAAUUUUCGUCACAGCGAAAUCCCGUUUCAGCCCGAACAGUGCUCAGUAAAACAAUCUUAAAUUUUUAUUCUGAAUUUGUAUUGAGGAAAGGUUUGUUGAGUUGGAAAGAGGACUCAAAGAUAUUUGACUUGAUAGGUAAUGGGACUCCUAAAUCCUUAUAUUCUAUGAGAUAUGAUCGUUUGAAGUUGACCCUAAUAAAAACUCAUAUCGAAACUGUAUCGGAAAGAAAGUUUUAUAGUUAACUUUGUGUCAGGGAUAUUAUACGACCUUAAUUCAUACCUUAUGGACUUUAAAACUAAAUUAUUGAUAUUAGAACUCAUGAAUAAUUAAAUUAAUCGAGUUUGAGUCUAUCUAGACACAUACGAAGGAUAAAAUCUUCGCUGAAAAGUUUGAGGUGACGUAAUAAAUAAAAUAUUGGCUAGUUUGGACCCAAGUUAAUAAUGAGGAAUGAAAAUUAAGAAUUUUCAUGAAUUUAUUAUGAAUAAUUUAGUAACGACAAAAUGGGUCGUUACAGGGGUUUGUCUUGUCCAACUCCUUUUGACUUUGUUCGGAUUCCAUUGGCUAAAGUAAUAGCCGGAAGAGAUUGUGUAUAAACAACAUUAGAUAGAUGUGAUUUGUCACCAGAAAUAUGAUCAGAAGUACCUGAGUCUAUAACUCAUGAUCCAAAGGUAGAAAAUCGUUUAGUUGAGGCUAUUGGUAGAUAUAUAUGCUUACUUGCUUGAUACUGAAGAUACUCAUUAUAUUCCUUGUCAGAUAAAUUCACCAAUUGAUCACCUGUGGUGUUAGAUUGGGUAAUAUGAUUAUUUUUAGGUGGUUGACCGUGCAAAGAAUAUCAUAUUCCACGAUUAUGUCCAAUUCUAUUAUAAUAACUACACUUAGGUCGAGAAUAGUAUACGCCACGAGUAUGUUCAAGCCUUUUACAAUAACUACACCUAGGUCGAGAUCUUCCAAAUCGACCCUCGUCGAUUCUUUAUAAACUCUGACAUCUGAGUUUCUGAUCUCCUCAUUAAGAUUCAGAUUUAAUCAGAAAAAUAAAUAUUAUCGGAAUUUGGCUGGAAAAAGAAGAGUCGCCAGAUAUAAGAUCUGGUAUUUGAAAGAUGAUCGAAAUCAAUAAUUAAUCAUAUGAGAAGCCUCGUAAUGAAGAGGUGAGGCUACUGAAAAAAAGAAAUUGUCAAAAAAGUUACCGGAAGACAGUGCACGUGCCGACGCGUUGACUGACGUGCUCGCCAGAGAACAUCUUCCGGCGGUGCGUAAGGGCACGUGUGAUGCCUAUUCUCAGCGAGUAUGAUUGAGGUUUUCUCACCAAAAACUUACGAUCAUGAUGGUGGUGGUGUUUUGUUUUAAAAUACACCGACAAAAAAUAUGUUUAUUUGGACAACGACUUCUUUCACUGAAAAACGACGCAGUGAGAUCGGAAUGAUAUUUUUCUCACGAACUCUCUGAUAUAAUAUGAGAAAUAAUGAUUAAAAAUAUUAUUGAAUUGUGUGUCUAUAUAAUUAUAAUGACACCCUAUUUAUAGACACUACAUUACAAUCCUUUUUCAAGUAGGAUUUUGUAUACUAUUCCUAUUCCUUCUCAUAUUCUAACAAAAUUCAUACCAACAAAUUCCAUAAAUAUACAAAUUGCUUACUGCAUAUAUAAUUUUUUUCAUAACAAAGAUUAAUGCAUAUGUAUUUAACAUAGAACAUUGAUUACUGCAUAUUGCUUCCUGCAUAUAUAUUUUUUUGUAUAAAGAGAGAAAAUUGAUUGCCUUAAAUUUUUUUCAAAACACAUACGCCCAUAGUUAUUUAUAAAUAUAAAUACAAAUAAAUUCAUACCAACAAAUUUCACAAACGUAAAUGAUCAUACUGUUAUACGAGUACACGUUCUCUUUGAGUAUGACAUUGAAUUUUUCAAUGAGAGUUGUGAAUGUAUAUGAAGCCUCCUGUCUAUUUUCGCAGUUUCAUCUUCCAAACGUCAAUCAAACUUCUUCUAGAAAAUAAUAUAUCGGUAGUUCUCAAGCCGAUACAAGUGCAACAUUUAUUGACUCAGCAAUGUUUGAUGUCAAAAUCCAUCCUUUAUGAACUGUUGCAAAGGACCUAGCCCGGUUUUCAUAACCCACCAAUUUCAAGUAUUUCUUCACUCUAAUAUCAACUACCUCUACCUUUUUCAUUAACUUGUGAAAUUCAGACUUUGAAUAUGAUUUUGUCAUUGUAUAAAGAUCUCCGAUAACGCAUCAUGUGACUUUCUAUACAAAAAAUUCACGUUCCCUCAUAGAUGCCACAUGCAUGCAUAAUGCAGUACAUUUUUGUACACAUCACCAAUAACCUUUAUGAUGCUUACAUUCCUAUCAGAAACAACACACAUGCGUUGUCUUUCUCCGUAUGCUUUCUUUAAAUUCUCAAAGAACCAAGUCCAAGAUGCAUCAUUUUCUGAAUCAAGCACACCAUAUGCUAAAGAAAAUAUAUGCCCUGCAUAUAUAAACACAUUUUGCGUAGUUACAUAUAAAUACAUAUAGUAACUGCAUAUGUAUUUAUUACAAAUACAGUUGCAAAUAUGUAUGUAUUUUUGUAAACACAGUUGCAAAUACAUAUACUAAAUUGUAACUAUACAACACACAUAUACAUUAUGAACUCUACAUGUUUUAUUCACAAACAUUUUCAAAAAUAUAUAUAAGCGCACAAGCAUAUCAAUUAGAGAUAUGUAUAUUUUUUUUAAAACAUUAAAUAUAUUAUAAAAUAUAAUUUAACUGCUCCAUCCAUGGUACAAGCAGCUACAAAUGUCCCAGUAUACAUUCCUCUCAGAUGACUACCAUCAACAACUACGACAAGUCUAUAAUGUUCGAAGCCUUUGAUGAUGCACGGAGAGCUAUAAAUACAUAUAAGAACUCAUCUUCAUUCAUCUUCUUCAUUCUUAUAUAAGAAUUAGGAUAAGUAUUGUUCAAAAUAUAUAAGUAUAUUGGUAAUUUGCCAUAUGAUGCUGAUGGUUUCCCCCUCUAUUCUUCUAACGCUCUUUCCUUGGACCUCCAAUAUACACUGUAUGUCAAAUCCAUACCAAACUCUUGCUUCAUGUCACUUUUUAUUUCAGUUGCACUGUACUUUCGUUUGUGGUUUUUAGUUUUUGUUUAACCAUAACGCCUAUCAACAUACUUGUAACAUGUAUUUUGGAUAAACUUUGUCCUUCACCGGGCAUGUAUGUUCUAUUAUGAAUUCUCUAGUUUUGAACAACCCAGAAUCUCCUAGACUGGAGACACGACAUAAAAGUCCAUAAUUACCUGAUUUACGCACCAAUGUAUAACUGCAUCAAAACAAUUUAAAUAUAAUUAAAAUACAUAUCCAAACUCAUUUUAAAUGCUAACAAAUCAAUCUAGAAUGUACUUAUCAUUUCUUACUUGACCUUUCACUUCAUGUUUGAAACUUCUCCCUAAUUGUAUAAUCCUUCGUGAUUGGCUUUAAUCUUUUUUUUGAGAAGUAUACCUAGUCUACCUCAACAUUCUUAUGAUGUGGGUCUGAGAUAAUCACCUGAAUCGUAUCCAUCUAACUACAUCUAAUGUUGUUGUAUUAUCAGUAACCACCAAUGCACCUUCAGUAGAUGUAUUUACCACUUGAUACGAAUUGUGACAGACGUCUCUUCUUUCAACAGCACAUACAGAUGAACUUGCAAAGGUGCUCACAACAUCUUUCUCCAAAAUGCUUACUUAUAAAGAAAGACAAUUCAUGCCCUACAUUAUCAGUGAUUUGAUAUUCAAUUUGGAUACGUUUGCUGCUCAAAUCCACAUUAAUAUGCGAUACCAAAAUAUUGUAUAGUUCAUUGUACGAUGUUGUUGGCUCAACAAUAUUGCAUCAGUAAUGUACUCUUCAUAGUUUUUUCAUACGUCCAUCUUCCAGAAUGCUUCAUAUAAACAGAGAUGUUUUUCAUUGCCAAUCUUUUUCACCUAAAAAAUGUUAUAAAAAAAUACAUAAUUGUAAGCAAUCAAUUCUUAUAAUAUACAUAUACAAUUACGUUUAAAUAUAAAAAUAUAAAAAACAACAAUUAAAAUAUACAAUUAAAAUUAUAAUUAUACAACUUCACACAGAAAUAUACAAUUACAGUCUAAAAUACAGAAUUCCAUAAAAGAUAUACAAACGAAAAUACAAUAUAAUUACAAUACACAAUUACACAUUAAAAUUUCAAACAAUGAUCUACAUUUAUAAACGUAAAUAAUAUAUACAUACACAACAAAAAUGUCUAGCCAAAAAUACAAUUACAAUAUAUUUGUACAACGUAAAAUAUAAACACAACCACAACAUUCAUAAUCGAACUUUACGAAAAUACAAAUAUACUCUUCGACUAUAAGAAACAACAGUAAUGGUUCAAAAAAAAUUUGAACGAAAUAACAGUAAUGGUUCAAAAAAAUUUGAAUGAAAAUUUUUUGAACGAUUUCAAACAACUGAUGAAAUUCAUAUAAGAAAAUAAUAUUACAAUUCAAUACCUUGAACAACAGUAAUGGUUUAAUUUGAAUUUUCAAAGCUAAUGAACAGAAGAAGCUUCAGUUGAAUUUGAUUUUUUCGAUGAAAAUGAUAAUAUGAAACAAAAAUUUGAAUUUUAAUAUCGAUCGUUAACAAAUAAUGGAAAUCAUGUUAAUUAAGAGGUAUUUAUGAAAAAAGAAUCUCCACAUUUAAUUCAUGGGUAAUUAUGUCAUAUUUAGCUCAACUGAUUUGAGUUAAAGGGGGACAGUAAAAUGAUUUGUAUAUUGUAACACCCCGUAUUCAAGUACGUGUAUUGGUCUUAUUUAUAUGAAAUUAAUUUUUUUAUUUUAUUUAGACCAGAAUUUGUCCGUCGAUGGUUCCAUGCGAAGGUUAUUGAAUAAGCUUUCCAACGAUAUAAAGAUUUCCAAAAAUGGAUAGGUUUGGAUAUAAUCGAGCACGUUUGAAAUUAUAAAAUGGUGGCCGGGAUAUUUGGGAAUAGUAAAUGUGCAGGAAAAUUUCUUGCACACAAACUACUGAGGCCAGCCGAAUUUUUGGGUCAACUUCGAACGAUCAUAAAUCCCUUAAUAUAAUGAAAUAAGAGAGCUACGACUAUGAAAAGAAAUAUCUGUGAGUCUUCUUUCCAAUGCAAUUAGUUUCAUCCAAAUCCAACAUCUGAGUAAGGAGUUAUACUCGUUUUACUUCAGCCUAUCAAAAUAGAUUUUUAGGAUCAAUUUCAAACGACCAUAACUCCUUGUACAGGAUGAACUGGGUGGCCUAAUUUAUAUGAAAUGAAAGACCUUUGAAUUAUCCUUCCAACGAUACUAAUUUCACCCAAAUUCGAUAUCGGACCAAAGAGUUAUGGUCGAUCUACUUUAGCUUAUCAAAACAGUCCACCAAAGNNNNNNNNNNNNNNNNNNNNNNNNNNNNNNNNNNNNNNNNNNNNNNNNNNNNNNNNNNNNNNNNUGUAUAUGAGUUCAAAAACUCAUUUUCAUCAUCAAUCAUUGAGAAAGAACAAACCCUAGCCAAAUUUGACCUUUAAAUCACUUUUGAUUCAACCGUAGAAAUUCCAAAGUAAUUCGAUAACUGCGUUUGUUAUCUCGAGAUCUUCGAACAACACCUAUUAUUUGUUCAAACAGAAUUGCAUAAUCAAGAGGUGAAUUCUAAGGUAUGAAUAUUGUUUUCCUUUGUUCUUUUCCAUAUGUAUAUGUGUGAUAGAGGAUUAUAUGUAUUGGUUGUUAUUGAAAGGUNNNNNNNNNNNNNNNNNNNNNNNNNNNNNNNNNNNNNNNNNNNNNNNNNNNNNNNNNNNNNNNNNNNNNNNNNNNNNNNNNNNNNNNNNNNNNNNNNNNNNNNNNNNNNNNNNNNNNNNNNNNNNNNNNNNNNNNNNNNNNNNNNNNNNNNNNNNNNNNNNNNNNNNNNNNNNNNNNNNNNNNNNNNNNNNNNNNNNNNNNNNNNNNNNNNNNNNNNNNNNNNNNNNNNNNNNNNNNNNNNNNNNNNNNNNNNNNNNNNNNNNNNNNNNNNNNNNNNNNNNNNNNNNNNNNNNNNNNNNNNNNNNNNNNNNNNNNNNNNNNNNNNNNNNNNNNNNNNNNNNNNNNNNNNNNNNNNNNNNNNNNNNNNNNNNNNNNNNNNNNNNNNNNNNNNNNNNNNNNNNNNNNNNNNNNNNNNNNNNNNNNNNNNNNNNNNNNNNNNNNNNNNNNNNNNNNNNNNNNNNNNNNNNNNNNNNNNNNNNNNNNNNNNNNNNNNNNNNNNNNNNNNNNNNNNNNNNNNNNNNNNNNNNNNNNNNNNNNNNNNNNNNNNNNNNNNNNNNNNNNNNNNNNNNNNNNNNNNNNNNNNNNNNNNNNNNNNNNNNNNNNNNNNNNNNNNNNNNNNNNNNNNNNNNNNNNNNNNNNNNNNNNNNNNNNNNNNNNNNNNNNNNNNNNNNNNNNNNNNNNNNNNNNNNNNNNNNNNNNNNNNNNNNNNNNNNNNNNNNNNNNNNNNNNNNNNNNNNNNNNNNNNNNNNNNNNNNNNNNNNNNNNNNNNNNNNNNNNNNNNNNNNNNNNNNNNNNNNNNNNNNNNNNNNNNNNNNNNNNNNNNNNNNNNNNNNNNNNNNNNNNNNNNNNNNNNNNNNNNNNNNNNNNNNNNNNNNNNNNNNNNNNNNNNNNNNNNNNNNNNNNNNNNNNNNNNNNNNNNNNNNNNNNNNNNNNNNNNNNNNNNNNNNNNNNNNNNNNNNNNNNNNNNNNNNNNNNNNNNNNNNNNNNNNNNNNNNNNNNNNNNNNNNNNNNNNNNNNNNNNNNNNNNNNNNNNNNNNNNNNNNNNNNNNNNNNNNNNNNNNNNNNNNNNNNNNNNNNNNNNNNNNNNNNNNNNNNNNNNNNNNNNNNNNNNNNNNNNNNNNNNNNNNNNNNNNNNNNNNNNNNNNNNNNNNNNNNNNNNNNNNNNNNNNNNNNNNNNNNNNNNNNNNNNNNNNNNNNNNNNNNNNNNNNNNNNNNNNNNNNNNNNNNNNNNNNNNNNNNNNNNNNNNNNNNNNNNNNNNNNNNNNNNNNNNNNNNNNNNNNNNNNNNNNNNNNNNNNNNNNNNNNNNNNNNNNNNNNNNNNNNNNNNNNNNNNNNNNNNNNNNNNNNNNNNNNNNNNNNNNNNNNNNNNNNNNNNNNNNNNNNNNNNNNNNNNNNNNNNNNNNGUGUCCCGACCUUAGUUAAACUUUGUGUAUUGUCUAGAGGCUUUGUAGACCUAAUGUACAGUCAAGGUGGUGUUUUGUUAAUAGACGUGAUGGCUUCAAUGGCCAAGUAUUAUAUAUACAUAUAUAUAUAUGUGUGCUCGAGCUUAUACAGGUGAUUAUUUUCUUUUAUAUGCGACAUGAUGCUGUCCGAAUUUCGGGUUGUCAUAGAGGUAUGCAUGGAAAGUAUAAGGUUAUGAGCUGGUUCUCCCGGGCCUCCUCGGUUACGGGUGCCAAUCCACCCCAAUAGGAUUUGAGGCGUGACAUAUAUGUAUUAAUAUAGUAACAGUUUGUUGAAAUACAAAUUACAAGUUGCUAGUGUAAGUAAUUUUGAAAUAGUUGCUAUGAAUCCCAUAAUUAUGGUAUUAAGUAUGCUAUUUAUGAAAUUUUUCCUAAUAAAUAAGGAAGUAACAGAUUUGAAUUUAUUUUAGGAGAGUAAAUAAUGGGAUAGAAUUUCUUAAAUAUCAAAAAAAGAAUCAAAUUAAGAAAAUUUCAUGAAAUCGUAUCAUUUUCAGUUUACAAGUUGGUUCAAUUUUUUUCCAUCUCUAUUAUUUUUAUUUCAAUAAAAUUUUGAAAGUUUUAUUGUGUGUUUCAUGUUGACAAACAUUCAUAUUCUUUUGAAGAAUCUUCAUACUAUAGAAACUAAAAGAUCUCAUAGCUAAAAAAUCUCUAUUAAUUCGGCGUUCAUAUAUAUAUUUUUGGCUAAUGUGCUUGAUACAUAUAUAAUGUUGUUAAUUUCUUGAUACUUUUUCGUACUAUAAACAAUGAUAUAUAUGAGUGAUACAUUUAUUGUCAGUAUAUUGGUGAUAGAUAUGAGUGAUACAUUUGUUGUCAGAAUACUGAUAAUACAUAUGACAGAUACUUUUUGAUAAUGAUUCAUAUUUUUGAUUCAUUUAUAAAUGUGUGAUACAUUUAACAUAUGUUUGACAUCUGUAAAUUAUUCUUUUUGUGUGUAUGAUUGAAUUUUUAAUUAGUAUUGAGUAUUUUUUUACCGGAUGUAUCAUUGUGAUACAUUUAGAACCAGAUGUGUUUAUGCCAUGAUUUGCACGUGAUUUACUCCCCUUAGUAAUUAAAAACUAGUUAUUUUCGUAUUUAAUUAACCACUCAAUUAUAAAUAUAUCACAAUGCAUAUGUAUCAAGGCUAAAGAUAUGUAUCACAAAAAUUAAAAUUUGAGAUAUCUUGUAAUUUAAUAAAAUUAUAAUAAAAAGUGUUACAACCCAUUAAAAAUCUGAAGUUUAUGUAAGUUACCCUAAAAUAAUUACCUGACAUAGCCAACUUUUAAAAUUUUCCCAACAAAACCCAACGUUGAUCAAUCUAGCUAAUUUAUUUAGAACUUGACAUACACCCAAAUCAUAUUAACUCUGAAGGAAUUUGAACUAUACAAAAGAUAAUAAGGAGAGAAGAAAUCAUCUUUAGUCUUUACUAAUUAAUGACUCUUUGAUAUUAUAUAUGUUCACACAAGCACCUAUUAGAAAAACAAAGAGUAUGAACUAUGAAAUUUAGUGCAUAAAUAAUACUCCCUCCUGUAAAUUUCUAUGGCCCACAUAAUUAAUUUAUUUAUUGUUUAAUAAUAAUUGAAUAAGUUAAAUCCUUAAUCUAUAUGAAAAGUUACCGAGUAGGAUAAUUACUGACUCCUAGUAGGAUUGUAUCCACAAUUACUGACUUCUAGUAGGAUAAUGAUUGAAUCCACCAAUCACGUUGAUGGAACGUGAAAACAUAACUGACUAUUCUCAUUAUAAAAGGGGUCCUCUCUCUGCCAAAAGAAGAAUAAGCUCCAUCACAAUUAUUCUGAAAGUAAGGUAAAGAGAGAGAAACAAUUCAGUGCUUCUGCUAUUACGCUUUUGCUUCCGCUAAAACCAUGGAGAAUUCAGGUAAGUAAUUCUUUAUUGAAUUACUGUUAUUAUAUGUAUGUGAAAAUCAUUAAGUUCAACGUUCCUGAAUAAUACAAAGGAUUAUAGAUAGGAUUGUUUAUGUAUAAGAUUGUUUAAGUUCAUAUAAUCCAUUUUAUGCUUAAAUGUGGUAUCAGAGUCUGGUUUUCGGAACAAGUGAUUUUCCAUUAAAAUUAAUGUUUCUCCAGAUCNNNNNNNNNNNNNNNNNNNNNNNNNNNNNNNNNNNNNNNNNNNNNNNNNNNNNNNNNNNNNNNNNNNNNNNNNNNNNNNNNNNNNNNNNNNNNNNNNNNNNNNNNNNNNNNNNNNNNNNNNNNNNNNNNNNNNNNNNNNNNNNNNNNNNNNNNNNNNNNNNNNNNNNNNNNNNNNNNNNNNNNNNNNNNNNNNNNNNNNNNNNNNNNNUUUAUUUAUUUAUCCAAAGAUGAUAAAUAUUAUUAAUUAAUGCAUUACAUAUUAUCAUUUUGUGUUAAAUAUAUUUUAAGCAUCAUUAUGUUUAAAGUUUUAUUUUGAUGUUUCGCCCAAAGGAGAACAUCAAUAUACAUUUAAGUAAGUUAUUUCUGAAUUUGAUAAUGUGUUUAAACUCGUAACUCAAAGUAUUAACAAAUGAGCAUGUUCUAUUUCAGCACUUGCCCUUCAUUCGCACUUUGCCUCUGUUACGACUUUUAAUGGACUUAACUUUUCAGAUUGGUGCGAACAGAUCAAAUUUCAUCUUGGGGCUUUAGAUCUUGAUGUUGCACUUUACUCUGAAAAGCCAACUGCUAUUACUGAAGCUAGCAGUGAUGAAGAAAAGUCCUAUUGUAAGCACUAGGAUCGGUCUAACAGAUUAGGCCUAAUGUUCAGCCUAAUGAAUAUUGCGGGCAACAUUAAGACUGCUCUUCCCAAAAUUGAAAGUGCAAAAGAACUUCUGAAACUUGUGGAAGAGUCUUUUCAAACUGCUGAUAAGUCUCUUGCUGGGACACUAAUGGGUACUUUGACCACCAUGAAGUUUGAUGGUUCACGUACUAUGCAUGAGAAUGUCAUUGAAAUGAAAAAUAUAGCAGCAAUACUUAAGUCAUUGGGAAUGGAAGUGGAACAGAGUUUCCUUGUGCAGUUCAUUAUCAACUCAUUAUCAUCUGAGUAUGGUCCUUUCUAAAUGAACUACAACACCAUGAAGUACAAAUGAAACGUGCAUGAAUUGCAUGGUAUGUUGAUUCAAGAGGAAACGAGGCUAAAGAAUCAAGGAACCCACUCCAUUAAUUAUGUAAAUCAUCAAGGAGCUGAAAAGAAAGGAAAGAAACAUGGUAAGGGACAACAGAAACAAUUUAAUGUUAAUCAGUCCUCAUCUCAAGUACAUAAGAAAAGGAACAAGAAUGGAAAGUGUUAUUUCUAUGGAAAAUCUGGACACUUUCAGAAAGAUUGCCUGAAACGUAAGGCAUGGUUUGAGAAGAAAGGUAAGCCUUGUGCUUUUACAUGUAUCGAAUCAAACUUAACUGAAGAUCCUUAUAAUACUUGGUGGAUUGACUCUGGUUGUACUGUUCAUAUUUCUAAUACUAUGCAGGGAUUCGUUACAAUCCAAAUCAUAAACAAGAAUGAAAGAUUUGUUUACAUGGGGAAUAGAGUGAAGGCUCCAGUUGAAGCUGUCGGGACUUAUCGUCUGAUUCUCGAUACUGGGCGUCACUUAGAUUUAGUUGUAACUUAUUAUGUUCCUUCUCUUUCGAGAAAUUUAGUUUCUUUGUCUAAGUUGGAUAAGACUGGACAUUCUUUUAAUUUUGGUAAUGGUUAAUUAUCUCAUUGGUGCUGGUACUCUUUGUGAUAAUUUAUACAAAUUGAAUCUUGAUAAUCUGAUUGAUGAAACACUCCUAAUUCUGCAUCAUAAUGUUGGAACCAAAUGAAGUUUCGUGAAUGAACAAUCUGCUUACUUGUGGCAUAUACGUUUAGGUCACAUAUCUAAAGAAAGGCUGAAAAAAUUAAUUAAGAAUGAAAUUCUUUCAGAUUUAGAUUUUACUGACCUUAAUAUUUGUGUUGACUGUAUUAAAGGAAAACAAACAAAACACACAAAGAAAGGAUCCACAAGAAGCACACAGCUUCUUGAAAUUAUAUACACUGAUAUAUGUGGUCCUUUUGAUAUCACAUCUUUCAAUAAAGAAAAAUAUUUUAUCACUUUUAUUGAUGACUUUUCACAUUAUGGAUAUAUCUAUUUGUUGCAUGAAAAAUCUCAAGCGAUUAAUACCUUAGAGGUAUUUAUUACUGAGGUUGAAAGACAACUAGAUAGAAAGAUGAAAAUAAUCAGGUCUGAUAGAGGUGGUGAAUAUUAUGGAAGAUAUGAUGAAAGUGGACAACACCCAGGUCUAUUUGCUAAAUUCCUCAAAAAGCGUGGCAUAUUUGCUCAAUACACAAUGCCUGGCACACCACAACAAAAUAGUGUGGCAGAAAGGCGUAAUCGUACAUUAAUGGCUAUGGUUAGGAGUAUGUAAAGUAAUUCAUCUUUACCUCCUUCUUUAUAGAUGUAUGAUUUAAGGACUGCUGUUUACUAGCUAAAUAGGGUUCCCAGUAAAGCAGUCCCAAAGACAACUUUUGAACUGUGAACUGGUAGGAAACCUAGUUUGAGGCACCUGCAUGUUUGGGGUUGCCCGGCAGAAAUCAGAGUUUAUAAUCUACAAGAAAAGAAACUGGAUUCAAGAAUAAUCAGUGGUUUCUUCAUUGGUUAUCCAGAAAAAUCAAAGGGGUAUAGAUUUUACUGUCCUAAUCAUAGUUCGAGAAUAGUUAAAACUGGAAACACUAGAUUCAUUGAGAAUGGUGAAAUUAGUGGGAGUGAAGAAUCGCGUAAUGUGGAAAUUAAAGAAGUUAGAGUACGAAUUUCUCUACCCUGUACUUCUUUUAAAUUUGUUAUUCCUGAAAAUGUUUUACAACAAAGUAAUCAACAAGAACAACAAAUUAAUAUUCUUAUUAAUGAAGCCAUAAUUGAUGAACCUGCAGUAGAUGAACCACAAGAAGUAGCAUCAAGAAGAUCACAAAGAAAAAGAAGAUCUGCUAUUUCUAAUGAUUAUUUGGUACAUCUACAUGAGUCAGAAACUGACUUGGGAAUUGAUGAUGAUCCAGUUUUAUUUUCACAAGCCAUUGAAAGCAAUAAUUCUGAUAAAUGGAUAAAUGCUAUGAAAGAUGAGUUAAAAUCUAUGGAGCAAAAUAAAGUUUGGGACCUUGUUGAAUUACCCGAAGGUUGCAAAAGAGUUGGGUGUAAAUGGGUCUUUAAGACCAAAUGCGACUCAACUGGCAACAUCGAACGUCACAAGGCCAGACUUGUUGCCAAAGGUUUCACACAAAAAGAUGGCAUUGACUAUAAAGAGAUGGUUUCACCUCUCUAGAAAAGAUUCACUCAGAAUUAUAAUGGCAUUGGUAGCUCAUUAUGACUUAGAGCUACAUCAAAUGGAUGUGAAAACGGCUUUUCUAAAUGGAAAUUUAGAGGAAGAAGUUUAUAUGAAUCAACCUGAGGGGUUUUCUAUUAAAGAAAAGGAACACAUGGUGUGUAAACUUAAGAAGUCAAUAUACGGACAUAAACAAGCUUCCCGACAAUAGUAUCUUAAGUUUAAUGAAACGAUUGUCACCUUUGGAUUUAAAGAAAACACUGUUGAUCGGUGUAUAUAUCUGAAGGUUAGUGGGAGUAAGUUUAUUAUGUUAGUCUUGCAUAUUGAUGACAUCUUGCUGGCUACUAAUGAUCUUGGUUUGUUACAUGAUACCAAGAAAUAUCUCUCUAACAACUUUGAAAUAAAAGAUAUGGGUGAGACAUCCUAUGUGAUUGGAAUAGAAAUAUUUUGAGAUAGAUCACAAGGAUUGUUGGGAUUGUCUCAGAAAACCUAUAUUAAUAAAGUAUUAGAGAGAUUUAGAAUGGAAAAAUGCUCAUCAAUUCCCGUUCCAAUUCAAAAAGGAGAUAAGUUUAGCCUCAAUCAAUGUCCAAAGAAUGACUUCGAACUAAAGAAAAUGAAAGAUAUUCCUUAUGCAUCAAUAGUUGGGAGUCUUAUGUAUGCCCAAACAUAUACAAGACCAGACAUCAGUUUUGCUGUUGGAAUGCUGGGUUGAUAUCAAAGUAAUCCUGGAAUGGAUCACUAGAAGGCUGAAAAGAAAGUAUUACGAUACUUACAAGGAACGAAAGAUCAUAUGCUCACUUAUAGAAGAUCUGAUCAUCUAGAUAUGGUUGGAUAUUCAGAUUCAGAUUAUGCUGGUUGUGGGGAUACAAGAAAAUCCACAUUUGGAUAUUUGUUUUUGUUAGGUGGAGGAGCAAUAUCAUGGAAGAGUGCGAAGCAGUCUGUUAUAGCUGCAUCCACUAUGGAAGCCUAGUUUAUGGCAUGCUUUAAGGCCACAAUCCAGGAUAAUUGGCUGUGGAACUUUAUUUCAGGACUUGGACUAGUCGACAAUAUAGCCAGGCCGCUAAAAAUUUAUUGUGAUAAUACCGUCGCAGUUUUCUUCUCUAAAAACGAUAAGUAUUCAAAAGGUACUAAGUAUAUGGAAUUGAAAUACUUUUCGGUUAAAGAAGAAGUCCAGAAAUAUAAAGUAUCAAUUGAACAUAUUAGCACUAAGCUUAUGAUUGUUGAUCCUUUAACGAAAGGAUUACCGCCCAAAACAUUUAUUGAACAUGUUGAAAGNNNNNNNNNNNNNNNNNNNNNNNNNNNNNNNNNNNNNNNNNNNNNNNNNNNNNNNNNNNNNNNNNNNNNNNNNNNNNNNNNNNNNNNNNNNNNNNNNNNNNNNNNNNNNNNNNNNNNNNNNNNNNNNNNNNNNNNNNNNNNNNNNNNNNNNNNNNNNNNNNNNNNNNNNNNNNNNNNNNNNNNNNNNNNNNNNNNNNNNNNNNNNNNNNNNNNNNNNNNNNNNNNNNNNNNNNNNNNNNNNNNNNNNNNNNNNNNNNNNNNNNNNNNNNNNNNNNNNNUAAUAGUGCACAUGAUUGACGUACCUAUUAAACCAUUAAAUUAACAUUGUGUGUGCCAAGUGGGAGAAUGUAAAUUUCCAUGGCCCACAUAAUUAAUUUGUUUAUUGAUUUAAUAAUAAUUGAAUAAGUUAAAUCCUUAAUCUAUAUGGAAAGUUACCUAGUAGGAUAAUUACUGACUCCUAGUAGGAUAAUGAUUGUAUCCACCAAUUACGUUGAUGGAACGUGAAAACAUAACUGACUAUUCCCAUUAUAAAAGGGGUCCUCUCUCUGCCAAAAGAAGAAUAAGCUCCAUCACAAUUAUUCUGAAAGUAAGGUAAAGAGAGAGAAACAAUUCAGUGCUUCUGCUAUUACGCUUUUGCUUCCGCUAAAACCAUAGAGAAUUCAGGUAAGUAAUUCUUUAUUGAAUUACUGUUAUUAUGUGUAUGUGAAAAUCAUUAAGUUCAACGUUCCCGAAUAAUACAAAGGAUUAUGGAUAGGAUUGUUUAUGUAUAAGAUUGUUUAAGUUUAUAUAAUCCGUUUUAUGCUUACACCUCCGUCCCAAAUUUCUUAUUUUGAUUUCUCAUUUUACUUGUCUUUUUUCAUUAAUCAAGAAGAGACAAUUAUUUUUUUUCAUGUUUUACCCUUCGCAUUAAUUACUUUUUGUUCAAAUUAAAAUAUAAACAUCAUUUAAUAGGAAUACUAUGAUAAACUAGCUAUGUUAUUAAUUAUUUUUCUUAAUCAAUAUGCCAUCUCGAUUUGGGACGGAGGGAGCAAUAAAUGAUGCUUUCGUAUUACAUAUGUCCACACAAACACAUGUUAGAAAAAUAAAGAGUAUGAACUAAGUACCUAAGAAAUUUAAUGCACAAAUAAUGAUUUGACAAUUCAAUUGAUGCUUUAAUCAACAGUUACUUCCUCCGUCCCGUUUUAGUUGAACACAUAAUUAAGUUUGUUAAUGCAGAUAGCUAAAAUAAAAAUAAUAUAAGAAUUCAAAUUAGCAAUACGAGACGAGUAUGAGAAUUGAGAAGUGAUGAAGUAAAAUAGGAUCUAAGCAAACGAUAUCACAAUUGAUAUUUGACUUUAUUCUUGGAUCGACUAAUAUGGUUGGCGCUAGAGGUGGCAAACGGGCGGGUCGAGUUGGAUAUGGAUGAGUUAAAAAUGGGUCAUAUAAAAAUGGAUUAAAUAUCCAACCCAACUCAUAUUUGAUAGUAUGUGGAUAAAAACGGAUAAAUCAAAUGAAUAAUAUGGAUAUCCAUAUUUUCCAUUACUUCUUAUUAUGUAAAGACAAAACUACUCUUAUAUUACAAAAAAAACUACAUGACUUAAUAAACAUAAGUUUCUAAUUAUUUAAUUUAGCGCAAUUAAUUUUCAUAUGAUAGAAGAAAAGAUUAAGGAGUUGAAAGCUAUUUGACAAACGGGCAGAUGGUAGAAGGUAUGAACAAGGAAGUAAUGAAAAAUUUUUGGGGUAAUGAAAGGAAUUUUCUCUAUGUAAUAUUUCUUUUUAAUUUGUCAAAAAGAAAUCAUACUACUAUGUGAAAAUAUACUAGAUUUGUUGUUGUUAUUGUAAAAAGAAAUCAUCACAUUUAAAAGUAAUUUAAUUUUCAAUUUUUAAUGAAUUAAUUUUAUAACUAGAUUACUGAUGGCUCAAGAGUGAAGAUAUUAAAACGUUAGUUUAAUGCAUCCAAAAUUUUGAAACCUCAAUAAAUUAUAAUAGAAAAUUUCACGAUUUUAGUUUUAUUUAAAAUAAUAUUAAAGAUUAAAAAAAAUUUAUAUAUAAAAUAAAAUUAAAAAUCUAUUUAUCUUAUAAUGAAAUAUUUUAGAAAUUUGAAUUAAACAAUACAAAUCUUUAUAUUAAUACACAAUUUUUUUUAAUAGCAUACAAGAUAAUAUAUUACGAACAAGUGACAGAUAUUUUAUAAUCUAGAAUUGAUCUUUCUAAUUUUAUAAAUAAUAAUAUUACAAUAUAAAGUUCAAAGUUUUAUGUCUUUUAAAAAUAGUAUACCAAAAAUUUAGUAUACCUAAAAAAAAAAAUAACCAUGAACCAAAAUAGAAAAACUUGCUUCACCAUGAGUAAAUAUUUCUUAGUGGCCUCAUUAGACCUGAUAUAUCUGGAUAAUAGGUAGGAGCAUAAACUGAAACAUUCUGAAACUACAAAGGUAGUUAUUAAAUUGUUACUACCAUUUUGUAACUGCAACUCAUUUUUUCUCGUCUCCGUCAAUAUUUUGGUAAUCAUUUUUCUCGUCUCCGUCAACAUUUUGAAAAUCGAUGUAUGCUCCUCACUUUUUCUUCUCGUCUCCGUCAACAUUUUGAUAAUCAAUGUCUGUUCUUGCGACCCAUGCCCAUGCAAAUUGAUAGGUUUCAGCGUUACAGAAGAGAAGAAGUGGAAAAUAACUGAAGAGAAUAGGGAACGACAAUUACUGAAGAGAACAAAUAGAAAUUUCUGUUUUUAGAUUACAUGCCUUCCGAGUCUUUAAUGACACCCAUUUAUACUUGUUAUGAAAGCCGAAGUCUUUCUUAAAUAGCCUACUUUUUAUUAAAUUAAAUGACCUGCAAGUUUUUAAAAAAAAAUAAAAUUAAUUACACGUUUUAGAAGUUACAAUCAGGACGAGCGCAUGUGGUGACUCUUCGGACCUUUAUGAAGUGAACUUUGCUGGUUUCUUUUAGAUUUAUGUACUAAAUCUAAAAUGAAGCCUUAGGAACUUUCGAUUGUUAUAACAACAUAUGAUCUUUUUUGCUUUUAUCUCUCCUUGUAUUGCCUUUUUUUUUUUUUUAACGAUGUCAUAAAUUGAGUCAGAAUUUGCUAAUAAUAUGGAUAUUACCUCAAGGGUCAGCGUCCCUCUCAAUCUCUAAAGGAAUCAAACGACGUUGAUAAGCUAAUAUGAUUCUGUAGAGUAGCCCCUAGCCAAAAUCUAUGUGAAACCUUUAUUCCUUUUCCACAAUUUCGUUAUUUACUAGUAUAUUACGCAUUAUGCGCAUGUACCUCUCUUAUUAUACUAUAGUUUAAUCAUAUAUAUCUCUUGACGUAUUUUAUGUAAUGACUUACGUGUUAGGGUUCUUUGAAAAAAGCAUAUCUAUUGCUAUAAGUAUUGUGAUGAACUUUUUUUUACAUGAACGCAGUUAAUGUCUUUAAACUUGAUAUCAUUUUUUGUACGCAUCAUAAAGGUUGAUGGAAAGAACUCAAAAAUCAAUAGUUUUAAGUUUAAAAAAUGCACAAUGAAAAAGAAACAAGUCAACUCUUUGGAAGAAAACAAUUAAACAAGACUUAGAUAAAGAGAGUUAGAAAUUUUUACCAUUGGUUAGGGGAAGCUGUAGUAUGACUUUUCUUUACCAACCUACUAAGCAGUACUUUCAAUUCAUCGAUUUAUGUCACAAACUAAUUUAUUUACCAAGUUGUCUGAAUUUUCCGUCAGAUAGGCCUUUGGUUCAUACCUCACCGUUAGUGCUUUCUGUCAAUGCUUUGGAUCGAGAUAAAUAUGAGAACUAUUUUGUAAAUCAAAAGUGGAGGCUCACUAAAGGAGCAUUAGUGAUUUCAAAGGGAUUUGCUCAUGGCACGUUGUAUAGGACAAAGAAAUACCAAGGUGAAUCUAACAUUGUUCGAGAAGAGAUUUCUGUAGAUUUGUGGCACAAAAGAAUGGGUUAUAGGAGCGAGAAAGGAUCGAAAAUUCUCGCUGAGAAAUCGCCCAUCUCUUUUGCCAAAGGUAUGACGACAAAAUCAUGUGACUAUACUUAUUGGGUAAGCAACAUAGAGUCUUAUUUCUAAUAUCAUCUCAUAGAAAAUUGAAUAUACUUAAUAUGGUAUAUUCUAAUAUUUGUGGUUCAAUCAAGGUAAUAUUGAUGGACGGUAACAAAUAUUUGUUACUUUUAUUGAUGAUCAUACAAAAAUUAUGAGUUUAUAUCUUGAAAACUAAAGAUUAGGUAUUUCAACUGUUCCGGAAGUUUCAUGCUUUGGUGAAAAGACGCUUUGACAAUGGAGGUGAGUAUAGAGAAUUUUAUAUUGUUCAAGUCAUGUGUUCCUAGAAACCUACAACACAAUAGUAUAGCUGAGCGGAUGAAUCACACCAUUGUUGAGAAGGUAAGAAGCAUGCUCAGAAUGACUAAACUACCUAACUCAUUUUAGAGUGAAGCAGUUUAGACGGCUUGUUACCUGAUCAAUCGUAAUCCAUCAGUUCCAUUGAAGUUUGAUAUUUCAAAGAGAGUUUGGACCAAUAAAGAGGUGUCAUACUCACAUAUUAAUAUGUUUGGUUGCAGAGCUUUUGCACAUGUAUCGAAAGAUCAGAGAAAAAAGUUGAAUGAUAAAUUAGUUCCUUGCAUAUUCAUUGUGUAUGGAGAUGAAGAGUUUGAGUACAGACUGUGGAAUCCUAUAGAUAAGAAGGUCAUCAGAAGCAGAAAUGUAGUCUUUUGAGAAAGUGAAUUCGGGAUUGCUGAUGACUUCUUAGACAAGGUUAAGAAAUAGAAUAUUGUAGUCCUAAUGUUAUUACCAUUCCUUCUACUUCUGACCAUCCCAAAAGUGUAGAAACUACAGUAGAUGAGGUUGCCGAGUAGGGGGACAAUGAGAUUGUAGAGCAAGAGGAUUAACCUAGUGAUUAUGCCGAGCAUGUGGGUACGCUACUCAAGUAGAAGAACAAUCUCAACUUUUGAGGAGAUCAGAAAGAUAAAAGGUAGAGUAAUCCAAGUAUUCUUCCUCAGAGUAUGUCCUCGUCAAUGAUGAGGGGGAUUCAGAAAGUCUAAAUGAGGUAUUGUCCCAUCCAAAAAAGAAUAAAUGGAUUAAAGGCAUGCAAGAAGAUAUGGAAUAUCUGCAAAAAAAUAGUACGUACAAGCUAGUUGAACUUUCAUAAAUGCAAAUGGAUUUUUAACCUCAAGAAAGAUGAAAAUGGCAAGAUUGGCAGAUACAAAGCCCGAAGGGUGGUAAAAGGCUUUGAGCAGAAAAAGGUAUUGAUUUUGAUGAAAUUUUCUCACUCGUUGUUAAAAUAAAUUCUAUUCGAAUCAUUUUAAGCUUAGAAGCUAGCCUAGAUCUUGAAAUAGAGCAGUUGGAUGUAAAAACGACAUUUCUUUACGGAGAUUUGAAAGAAGAUAUUUAUAUGGAACAACUAGAAGGAUUUGAUGUAGCUAAAAAAAAUACAUGGUCUGUAAACUAAAUAAGUGUCUUUAUGAAUGCAAGCACCAUGGUAGCGGUACAAACAGUUUGACUCUUUCAUGUAAAUUCAAACUUACACAAAGACUUAUUCUGAUCAAUAUGUAUACUUAAAAAGACUUUUUGACAACAACUUUGUUAUUUUGUUAUUGUAUGUGGAUGACAUGUUGAUUGUAGAACAAAAUAAAGAGCCGAUUGUGAAGAGAAAUCUUUCCAAGUGAUUUGACAUGAUGAGUUAGGCUCAGCACAACAAAUUUGGAGAUGAAGAUUGUUCGAGAACAAACAAGCAGAAAGUUGUGGCUAUCUCAGGAGAAGUACAUUGAACAUGUACUUGAAUACUUUAACAUGAAGAGUGCUAAAGUUGCUAAAUACCUCUUAUUGGUAAUCUAAAGUUAAGUAAGAAUAUGUGUCCUACAACAAUGGUGGAGAAAGAGAAUAUGGUCAAUAUUCCUUAUUCUUCAGUGGUCGGGAGUUUGACGUAUGCAAUGAUGUGUUCCAGAUCGAAUAUUGCUCAUGCAAUUGGUGUUAUUAGCAGGUUCCUUGAAAAUUCUGAAAAAGAACAAUGAGAAGCAAUCAAGUGGAUACAAGAGGUUCCUCAAGAGAUUGCUUGUACUUUGGAGGAUCUGAUUCAUCUUGAAGGGCUAUACAAAUGCUACUGAUAUAGCGGGUGACCUUGAUAAUAAGAAAUCCACUACUGAAUAUUUGUUUACCCUUUCAAGUGGAGAUAUAUCACAGCAGUCGAAGUUGUAGAAGUGUGUUGUACUCUCUACAACUAAAGCAGAGUAUAUUGUAUCUACUGAAGCUGGCAAAGAGAAGGUUUGGCUUAAGCCGUUUCUUCAAGAACUUGGAUUGUAGCAAAUGGAGUACAUUUUCUAUUGUGAUAGUUAAAGUGCAAUAGACUUGAGCAAGAACUCCAUGUACCAUGCAAGAACAAAACAUAUUGAUUUAAGUUUCCAUUGGAUUCAUGAACAAGUAAAAAAUAAAUUGCUCCAGAUCAAAAAAAUUCACACGAGUAAAAGUUCUGCAGAUAUGCUGACAAAGAUAGUUUCAAAAGACAAGUUCAAAUUGUGCAGCAAACUUGUCGGCAUAAGCUCUCUUUGAGAAAAUGAGAAUACCUCCUUCAAGUGUAUGAGGUUGGAGGGAGAGAUUUGUGGGAUCUAGUCCCAUAAAUGAGUUUGAAAAUCAUUCCAUGGAAUGUGUUUUUUUCCUAUGGGCUAAUAAUUUUCAAAGGUCAUUGGAUGCAAGGUGAAAAUGAAGAUUUGAUAGUUGGUGAUUAAAUGUGUUCAUGGUAACACUUUGAAAAUGUUACCUUCAGUGAUGUUAUUAAUGACAUCUAUUGAGACAGUUUUUUCUGCCUAUAAAAGGAGCUCAUCAGCUCCUUGGUUUGACACAUUAAAAACAGAGUGAAGAGAAAAAAAAGAGUAAGACAUCAUAGAGAGUUUAGUCUAUGAGGAAAAAUAGAGAUGUGAGCAAUAUUGUAACGAGGUGAAAAAAUCAAAAGAGAGAUAUUUCUUUUGAGUGUGUAGUGAUCUUCAGAGUACUUUACUCAGACUACAAGUGUAAAAUUUUUUACUAUAUAGUGAUUUUUGUUGCUCCUCUAGGGCGGUAAUCUUUUUUCCUUAUUGGGUUUUCCACGUAAAAGACUUGGUGUCAUUAUUGCUCUUGUUGUUUUUGUUGGUUAAUCGUAUUAUUGUUGUUUUCGUAUUUAUUGUUUUUAUUACUGCACUGUUAUUAUUGUGGCGGGUUUAUCCCUAACAGACAGCCUAUCAAGUGGUGCUAGAGCUAUUUAGUCAAUCAUUCGGAUAGACGAGUGUGAAAGUUAAAUGAGGUUUUUAUUUGUUUUGAAAUUUUAGAAAGUAAAAGACUUUUAAAUCUUGCAGUUUUAAAUUAAACAAAUGUAAAAUAUACUAUAAUUUCAUUUAGUCUUGUGUUCUUAAAUAUGUAAUGUGGAAAGUUAGAAUAAAAGAAUUUCCCAAAAAAGCAAAAAACAUUCUUUUAUAAGCGAAUUAAAAUGUAAAGUAAACCAUAAUUUCUUGAAUGCUUUUUCCUAGCAAAUGAUAUGUAAUGAGUGAUAUCUCACACUUUCAGUACAUAAUUCACUUACUCCAACGUCCUACUUCCCCUUAUGCUAACAUUGUGACUUCUUGUAGGUAAAUGUUGAAGAGUUUGGGGGAUCCAGCAGUAUAACAUAGUUUUUGCCAUAGUACCUCUCAACAACUAGUGCCAAUGUCUUUUUGUUAACUCCGCCAGAUAUUGUUGCAGCCCCCUGGCCCAAAAGGAUCGUGAUGGAGUCUUAUGCAGUACAAUAGUAUCGUGGUCUACAUGUAAUAAGCUAGUUUGCCUAGGGAAUCAGUCAAUUAUGUGUACUUAUAGUAGUAAAUAGUAAUGUUUUUUUUUGUCGAACUCCUUAGCUCUGUUUUGUUAAACCAUGGUCAUAGCAGUUCCUCUAUUGUUGUACAAUGCAUACCUUCCUGAUAUCUAUUUUAUAUAUAUAUAUAUCUAUAUAAAUUGUUGAAUCUUCUCGACGUAAAUAAAUUUAAAUUUUGUGAUAUAGGUUUUCAUAAAUUGCUUAAUUAGAUCAUGAGUUUAAAUAAU
rnacentral:lncRNA from 1 species